GUUAAUUAAUCUCAUUGCGCAAGAUACAUACAAAUGCAUGCAAAUGCAUUUUAAUUUCUUGUAUAUAAACUUAUGCUUUUGUAUCAAAAGCGUAAAGUGAGAGGGCCUUUUUCUCCUUGACAUGCACCAAGAAAUGAAAUGAAGGAGAAGAAACUGUGAGCCAAAUUAAGGUCAACUAAUUUUAUUUAGCAAUUAAAAGAUACUAAUUUUCGCUUAGUCGUGUCAAUUUGAGGCUUCUAGAUGUCCACUAGUUGACCUUGGAUAUUCAAGAAAACAAUUCUUCCAUUAAUUGUGUCAUCUCAAGUCUUUUUGGCCGUUUGAUCGAUUGAUGGUAUGUUGAUUUGAGACUUCUAGAAAGAUUUUGUUGUGCUCGAGUCAUGUUAUCUCGGUCGCCUCUGAGUUUCCUGUGCCGUACACAUUAAUUUAAUAUUGAUAUUGAUAUCAUGAAUACGAUUGAUAUCGUGAGUACACAUUAAUUUUCUUUGCCUUUUGUUAAUUUUGUUAGCUAAGAUAUUGUUACAAUUGAUAUCAUGAAUUCAACCAAUUGGGCUUUUAACGAUCGAACCCACUAACACUAAUACUCAUUAGUCAAAAUCAUCAAACCAAAAUAUUUAGAUCAGAUACGUGGCUCAAGAUCACUAGGUGGUGUGAAAUUAUCUCAUCUUUCUAUGUUAUUGACGCUUGGACAAUCUUAUCUUUGUCAUUAAUAUUAUUAUAAAAUUAAAACAAUUUCACACUAUUAUAGAAAGUUAAAAAUAAGAAAUAAAUUUGUUACGUAAUCAAUAUAUUUGUGACUACAUCAACUACGUAAUCUUAUGUUAUCAUAUUUAAAAGACCUACUUUUUUUAACUCUUCAUAACUAAUUAGGCCCUAAUUCUUCAUAAAUUUUCAUAAAAUAUUUGACUAAAUUAUUAUUUUUUAAUAAAAAACACUAAUGUGCAAUACAAGGGCUAAUGAGAUGCUUAUUUUAAAAUUAACCGACUCGAAAAUACUGAAGCAAGGAGAUUCCAACGUCACACCUUUAAUUAUUUUAAAAUAUGUUCCUUUCCAAAGUAACAAUUUAAGAAUUAUACUUUUAUAACAGAAUCAUCUACUUUUGCCAAGCUGCAAUUCAAAUUAUUGACACAUGGCAAUCUGAAUUAAGACAAUAAUGUUAUUCAUUUAUAACAUAUGGUUUAACAACUAGUUUAGUUCGAAAUUGAUCGACGUAAGAUCAUUGAAAUAAAGAAUGUCCAACCCUAUAUCUCUUUAAUUUGCUUUAAAAUAGAUUCCUUGCUAAAGUGGCGAGUGAAAAAUUAUGCUUUUGUUGUGGAAGUAGCUUCUGCUUCCACUAAGUGGCAAUCGAAUGACACGUGGCAAUCUGAUUUAAGACAAUUAUAUUUUUUGUAAUUAAAAAGUUAAAACAAUUAUAUUUUGAAAUUAAUCGACCCAAGAAUAUUGAAGCAAAGAAUUCCUAAUGAUACAACUUUGAUUGUUUAAAAAUAUGUUCCUUCCAAAGUGAAGUGUAGAAUCAUACUUUUGUAGCCGAACCAUCAGCUUUCGCCAUGUGGCAAUCAAAAUUAUUGACGCAUAGCAAUCUGAAUUAAGACAAAUAUAUUAUUCAUGUACAAUCAAAGAGUCUCCAACCGUAUAUCUUAAAUUUUGUUCGCAAUGGAUUCCUUUCGAAUGUAGCGAGUAAAGAAUUAUGCUUUUGUUGCCAAAACCUCUGCUUCCACCAAGCGGUAAUCGGAAUUGUUGAUAUGUGCCAAUAUGAUUUAAGACAAUUAUAUUUUUUUAUAAUUAAAAUUGUUUAAGCUACAAUGGAAAGAGUUAAAAGUAUUUAAAAGAAAAUUGGGCAAGCAAAGCAACAUAUCUAUCUAUAGCGUCAUCUAUCUAUAUGCGAUUAAUUCGUAAAAAAUUACAUGUGGGUCCCACAACCCCCAAAAUAAGUGGAUAAAUUGAUACACUUUAAACCAUAGGGCACUAAAGCGAGAAAGUGCGAAACUACAGGAAUUUAACAGUUGAGACAUAAUCGCUAUAAAAUCAAGAAGAAGUGAGAAGUUGAUUGAAAAAAAAAAAUUAAAAAAUUAGGGACUAAAGUAGAAAUGGUGCAAAGGUUGGGACAAAUGGUGCAAUUGAUCCUCAAUUAAAAAAAAAAAAAAUAUGGGACCCACAAAAUCCCCCAAAUAAGGAGAGCUCUUCUUUUGAUUCCCAAAUCAUAUAUUUAUAAAUUUUAAAUGUAAAUUGAAAUAUCAAAAUCAAAAUAAAAAAUUUAAGUUUGAAAUCAAAAAUUAUAUUCAAUUUAAAAUUCAAAUUUAAAAUUUUAAUUUCAAUUUAAAUUUAAACUUUAAAUUUGAAUUUAAAAUUUUAAUUUCUAUAUACGGCCCACAAUCAAUCAAAAUAAGAAGAGACUCGGUUUAAAAUUUAAAUUUCAAUUUAACUUCAAACUUUAAAUUUAAAUUUAAAAUUUUAUUUUUUGAAUGUAANACCUAUUAGUCAAAAAAAAGAGUAAUUAAGAAGGAGGGGAAUUAACAAGACCAAAUUGUCUAAUUAUCUCUUAAUUGUAAGAAAAAUAAUUAAAGCAGCAUAUGUAUAUAUAUAGAUAUUCAGCACUCAUUAAUCUUAAAAGGAUUCUGAUUCUGAAAAUUAACUCUAAAUUGUACAAUGCCUCUAGCUAGGGAAAUAUUUGAAAUGAUUCAUAUAUAUAUAUAUAUAUAGAGAGAGAGAGAGAGAGAGAGAGAGAGAGAGAGAGAGAGAGAGAGAGAGUGGUGUGUGUGUGCGUUGAGUUUUCAACACCAUUUAAGGAUGAGUGGGUUUCACAUGAAAAAAGCAAAAAAAAAGAAAAAAAAAAAAGUAGGGUGGUUCCAACGGCCCUCGAGUGCGGGGAGAGCUCCUAUAGGUUCCCAAAUCAUGUAUUGAUAUAAAUAAAUAUGUACUAAUUAAUCAAUCCAAGAAUACAUACAUAAGCAAAGAAUCUCACGCCGUACAUCUUUAAUUUGCUUUAAUUAGUUCCUUCUCGAAGUGGCAAGUACAGGAUCAUAUUUUGUAGCUUAAAUUUUUGUUUUUACCGAGGGACAAGCCAAAUUAUUGAAAUUUGUAUUUGUUUAUUUCUUCGAAAGUAGAGAUAUGUAAAGUAAUUUUCGUCAUAAAUGCCUACUUCUAUAGUUUUGUUUACCAUAACUCCACAUUCAAGGGUAUGUUUAUUUGAAUGGAAGUGAGGUGGAAGUGAAGAGAGGGAAGUCGUUUUCCUCAUAAACGAUCACUUUCGUUGUUUGGUUCGCCAUAAAAAAAUUAAAGUCGAAAUUCAAGUUAAUCUGAAAUAGUGUAAUUUACUUAAGCCGAAGUCAACUACAAUGAAUGGAGGUGAAGUAAAAAAAUAAUAAAAUAAUAUACUAGAUAAAGUUAGUUAUACUUAAAUAUAUUUAAUUAUGGUACUAAUUACUCUUUUAUUCAUUUGGUAUAUUUAAAAUAUGAUAAAAAUUGAUUAGGUAAGUUUUAAUAUUUUAUUUAUUUAGUUUGUAUAAUUAAAAUAUGAUAAAAAUUGAUUAAUUAAGUAUUAAUAUAUUUUUACUUUAUAAUUUUAUUGGUGUAUUACUAUAAUUUACGUAUAAAAAAUAAUUUAUUUGUUUUAAAUUAAAUUUUAAUUAUAUAAAAAUAUAAUUAUAUUAUUUUUAUUUAUUAAAUUAUUUAUUAUUUAUACAUAAAUUAUAAUUUUACAUCAUACACUUCUUACCAAACAAACAGCAGAACUAAAGAAACUUCACUUUCAUAACCACAAAAUAAAUAGUGAGGAAGAAAUAGUUUUCACCGAACUUCAUUUCGAUUCAAAGUUCAGUUUCGGUGAAACAAAUAUGCCCUAAUCGAAACUCAAACUUUUCCAAAUGCCGUAAUUGACUUCGGCCUAUUUUGGACCGAAGGUAAUUAGGAAAAAAAAAGAGAGAAAAAUAAUAAAAUAGCAAUCACAAAAAACUUUAGCUUUUACGUCAUUAACGUUCUGCGAAACAAACAGUAGAAUUAAGCCCAAACCAUCGGUCCAAAAUAUUUAAACGUAGUUAUUAUUAUUAGGGUCCAUGAACUUUUAUAUACCUAAUCGCAAGUCACAGACUCUCCCGUUUAGGUCAUGAUGUCCUCGUCAACCCAAUUACAUACACACACCCAAAAUCACCAAGCGAUGUGAGAACUACCUCACUCUUUCGACUGGUGAACAGACUCUGAUAUUAUAUGUAUCGAUCCGAUUCGCUAGCAAUAAUAAUUCAUUGGGCCCAAACCAGCAGCCCAAAAUAUUUUAGCACAGUUAUUAUUAUUAGGCUCCAUAAUCUCUUAUAUAUCCAAUCACAAUUUUGUUUCCAAUCACAAUUUCGUUUUCAUGCGAUGUAGGAAUAUUAAAGUUUUCGUGCAAUGUAGGAAUAUUAAAGUGUCACACCGUUAUAAAAACAAAUUGUUUGGCAAGCUAGAAUAUCAGUUAGGUGAAGCUAUCCUUGCAACUACCCGACCUGCUAGCAAUAAUAACUCGUUGGGCCUAAAUCACCGGCCCAAAAUGCUUAAGCCCGGCUAUAAUUACUAGCGUUUAGGCCUCAUAUAAACCGAUCAGAAUCAGUAUCCCAUUCAAUGUGAGACUAUUGUGGAACUAUUGGAGUGUUACAAUCCUGGACGAGAAUCUCAUCUAAUUAUGUGUACAAUUUUGAGGUAAAAGUCUACAUGCCUAGCAUUGUAGUUUCUGUAAUUGUAAUGUAAAGGACUUAAAAUAGGAAAAGUGCACCUUGCGCAUAAUGUGUUCGUAUAGAUAGAUUCCUUAGUAGAGGUAUAUACAUGUACUAAUUAAUCAACUUAAGGAUAAAGAAGCAAGGAAUUUUGAGCCGUACACCUUUAAUUUGCUUUCGAAUUGGUUCCCUCUUAAAGUGGCAAGCAAAGGAUCAAAGUUUCGUAGCUUAAAUUUCUUAUUUCACUGAGCGACAAGCCAAAUUAUUAACCCCUGGGGUCUGUCCGUUUCACCAAAAGUGGAGUGGAGUGAAUUCAUUUUUAGCAUAAAUGUUCACUUUUAUUGUUUGGUUUAUCAUAUAUAACUCCAUUUUCAGUCGAAGCGUAAACUUUCAAAAUCUCGUAAUUGACUUCAGACUACUUUGGGCCGAAAUAUUAAGUAUGAAAACUUUAGCUUUUAUGUUAUUAACUUUCUGCCGAACACACAGCAGAACUCGAAAAAAAAAAAAAAAAGUUUCACAAUUAUAAAAAUAAAUUGUAUAAAAAUAAAUUAUAUGUAAUUAGUAUGUCUAUCUAUGGAAACAAAGAGCUUUAUACAACGAGUUUAAAAUAAAGAGCUUUAAACCCACUAUCAGCCAGCCCAAAAUGCUUUCAACCAAAUUGUAUGUUUAUUUAUAAAAUAAGGAGCUUUCAAUCAGAAAUUGUCCUGCAUAACACACUUAUCUCUCAUACUUUCGACUGGUAUUCGACUCUAAGACCAAUUGCAACAACCCGACCCGCUAGCAAUAAUAACUUGUCGGAUCCAAACCACCGGCCAAAAUACCUAAGCCCAAUUAUUAUUACUAAAAUGUAUGUCUCAUAUAUUCUAAUCCGAAUAAGUUUCUCACCCGAUGUGGGAUUAUUAGGACGUUACAGAAAAUAACUAAGUUUUAAUUUUAUUUUAAAUUUUUAUAAAACAAAUUAUGUUUCUCAAAAUUAAUUUACUAUUUUUUAAAAAAUAAAAUUUUAAAAAAUAUCAGCAUGAAACGCAUGGGUCAGCAACCAAUUUAUUUUGAAAUUAAUUAGUCAAAUACUAUAUAAAUCAAAGAAUCGCCAACUCAACACCAUUAGUUUGCUUUAAAAUGAUUUUUUUUUUUUUCAAAAUUGCACGUAUGGAAUGAUACUUUCAUACCCAAAAAUAUAAUUUGUCUAGAGAGUUAAAAACAGGAAAUAAAUUUGGUAGGUAAUUACUAAAUCUAUCUCUAGAUCCAUCUUUUGUUUACUUGCUUUAGAGUUUGUUCCUUUCCAACAUAACAAGGAAUCAGAUUUUUUUUUUUUUCUUUUUCUUUUUUCCUCGUACCUGCCUAUAAAUACAUUCUAUUAUAGUUGUUCCUUUAGCAAGUUGAAAGCCUUUAGCAUACUCUCAUAUUGCAAGGAAGACCUAUACUAUGGAUUUGUGGUCACCGGGCUGAGUGAAUGAGCGCAUGAAGGAAUGCUCUGGACAGCGGUAGAAAGAUACGAUGUUCGAUACUCACGUAAAUGGACAACAAGCCAUUUGGAUAUGUCUGGUGUUUUUUCUCCUUAACGCACAAACAGGCAUUUAGUCAUUCGGAUUCUGUCUGGGCUCUUCCUCCUUGACGCACAAAUAGGCAUUUAGUCAUUCGGGUACGCACUUAUUUAAUUUCUUACAUAUUCUUACUACUUAUUGUUUGUUGUUUCGUUAUUUUUCUGAUUCUGUUAUUGGUCAUUGUAACUAAGGUUUAAGGCUUCUUUUCUUUUCAAUAAGGAUUAAGCUACUUGAAUAAUACAAUUACACGACCAUAAGAAAAUAAUUAACUCCUAAUAAUAUAAAGUAGUAACUAUUCAUUAAAUCAAGCUUAGAAGGAAGGAAAUAACAAUUUAAUAUGGUAUGUAAUUAGGAGAUUUGUUACGAUUACAUGUUUGAACACACAUUAUAUACAAUAUCUAUUGGAUUUCGAAGGGAGUCAAUGUUCUAUUGGUUUAUUUUAGUUUUCCUUCGCAUUCUUUUAUGGCCUAAUUGUAAUCGCCAUUUUCUUGGUCAUCCAAACUCACAACUCUUAAAAUUAAGAUGAAAACUAUGGUAUAUGGUUUAUGAAACAAUAUAUAUUCCUUUCCAUCGUAGCAAGUGAAGAGUUAGACUUUAUUUUUCCUACUUGCUUAUUAAUUCAUUUUUUUCUAAUUGCUUUGUUCAGCAAGUUGAAAGCUGUUUGGAUCUCUCUGCUGCUCUUUCUCCCUAACACACGAAUAAUAUUAAAUCAUUCGGGUACGUAAAUAUUUAAUUUCUCGCAUUAUUCUUAUUACUUAUCUUUUGAUUUUUGUUUCGUUAUUUAUCUGGUUCUGUUAUUGGUUAUUGUAAUUGAGAUUUAAGGCUUUUGUUUAUUCAAUAGGGAUUAAGCCCCUUAAAUAACAUGAUUACAUGACUAAAAAAAAAGGAAACUUCUAAUAAUAUAAGGUAAUUAUUCAAAUAUUAAAUCAAGCUUCCAAGGAAGGAAAUAACAUUCUAAUAUGGUAUGUAAUUAAGAGAAUUUGUUGUGAUUAUAUGCCUGAACACAAAUAAUAUAUAAUAUCUAUUGGAUUUCGAAGGGAGUCAAUAUUUUGUUGUUUUAUUUUAGUUGUCUAAUUGUAAUUGCCAUUUACUUGUUCAUUCAAACUCAAACUCUUAAAACCCAAAUGAAAACCAUGGUAUUUAUGAUACAAAUAUAUUGUUUUUCUAACACAACUUAUUUUUAAACUAUUUGAUACUUUAGCAAUAGUUUUCAAAUCUAUAAAUUUUUAUGUAUAAACUGUGUAGGUUUUAGAUUACGUUUUUUUUUUUNGAAGGAAAUAACAUUCUAAUAUGGUAUGUAAUUAAGAGAAUUUGUUGUGAUUAUAUGCCUGAACACAAAUAAUAUAUAAUAUCUAUUGGAUUUCGAAGAGAAAAAAAAUAGCAAGCUACCUGCCAAAUAUAAAAUGACCAACCAGUUCUAGCGGUAGAAAGCUUAACAUUUAAUUUAAAGGUUAGUUUCACGAGUGUCCCUCUACAUUUAUCUAAGUACAUAGAAACCCUCCAAAAAUUAUCAAUAUCAAAUAUACUUCUUAAAUUUAGAAAGAUUAUAUGGCUUAAGCCGUUAACUUUUAGUUUUUCUAGCCAUUUAAAUCCGCUUAACUAAUGAAUUUUUUCAAAUUACGUUAUUUUAGACUGAAAAUUAGAGGAUUUUAUCAAAUUUAUUAGUAAUUUCACUAAAUUUAAUGACUUCAAUUACUUUUUAGCAUAUAGCUGAGAGGGUCUCCGCAAUCUUUUGUCACGCCCCCGGGGUCCCUUUUAGUUUAAAAGGUAGCGGAAAAGCGUCUGAAAAAUUUUUUUUUAAAAAUCUGACCCCAGAGUGUGCCAGAUCCGCCACAAAUACAGGAGCUCCACUGUUCACACGGACAGAGUCUCCCCUGUAUUUGCACGGCGUCGCACAAGUACAACAGAGUAUAGAUACACAUACAAUCACAACCACAACCAGAUGAACAACAAGAUAGAUAACAUUCAUCCAUUCCAUUCACACACACAGAUAUGAUACUUGAAUUAUGAAUAACAUUCCACAUCUAUCAGUUAAAAUGUUUCCUACCUGGAAACUGAUUUUGAAAUACUAAAUCCAUAGAACCACAGAAAAAUCAAUUUAAAAACUAAUCCCCACACGGGAACCAUUCUUUUCAAACCAGCUACCACGAGGGGUAGAAAACUGUUUUAUUUCAAGAAAAACUCAAAUCCUUUAGUGCAUUUCAAAACCAAUUGAAAACCAGAUAAUCAGAUAAUAAAAUAGAAACUGAACCAUAAUAUGUCUAAGUAUUUAUUCGAGCAUGAAGGGUAAAAGGGAUAACCGACUCGGGAAGGAGCUCUAUCGCACGCUAGACACGCUCCUCACCAGCUGUCCCACUCGGACCUGCUACGUCACCUGUAAUGGGGGCGGGGGGUGAGAACAUGUAAACAUGUCUCCCCUCCCAGUGGGUACCGCAAGCCGAAGGAGGCGAGGGGUACUCACUAGUCACGGAGAUAAACAAAUAUACGGAUAAUGAUAGUACAGUAGCUAAGAUAAACAAGUGCUGAAAUGAAUAUAAAUGAACAACUACAGCUACUGUAUGUAUGCAUCAACGGGACAAUCAAUCCAAAAGUACCCAAUCUGAACCACUGCUCUCUUGGUCAGCACCGCAGACCUCAAGCCAAUGCCACUACUACUCUCCAGUGCAUAUAACCCUUCUAGGGCUCACGGGUUGUCACCAUUCAACCACUUUUCCGGAAAAGAACACUCCUUGCGGUGGAUCAGACCGCCAGUGUUCGUGAAAUGCGACGAGUAUCGGGCGAUCAAUGCAAUAUGCUCAAUGAUCAACCGUCGGCAACCAGCCGACAAUCCUGCCCCCCAGGGCCCAUCGACCGCAUGGGUCAUCAUGUAACCAAAUCGACCAACCAGGUCACAAAUAUGGAGUAUGAAACUCGACCAACCAGGUCAUAGAUACAACAAAGGAGAAUCAACCAACCAGAUCACAGAUAUCAUAUGCUGAAGAAAUCUACUCUACUCCUACACAAGAUACCGAGCAUGCAAACAACCGAGUAGAGUAAUACGAGGAUAAUAUGAUAAGCAAAGUAUAUGAUAAGCAAUGUAAAUAGGAAGGGUGGAAGGAACGUCACCGAGCGUGCACCACUGUACCGACGUCGGGUCGAAGUACCCACCUGUAUGUAUCCGACGAAGGUCUCUCGACUGUGAAGACGGUGCAACCGAACCUACGAAAGGUCCACGGGUUAAGGUCUAACCCACUGACAUGAAAAGCUAACUCACAACCCCUGCUAACCAAAACCACGACCGAUUUCCCAAAACCGAUUACCAAAUAAGCCGGAAGUCCCGAAAACUGCACCGGAACUUUCUCGUCGCUCCCCCGUCGUUUCCGAACCCUCAAAACGACGCGGGUGACCAGCCAACCAGGCUCAGCGACGCCACAAUCAGCCACGAGGCACCGUCGGAUGAAAUCCGAACCGAAACCGCGUUCUAUCGGCAGAUUUCGCCGAAAAACGCCUCGGAAAUCACUUUUCGAUUUCCGCAAAGGCUUGGGGCCUUGGACGAUCAGUCCAGAGGUUACCCUCAGCAUUUACACGCUGUCCACAGCAUCUACAACGAAGCAGAAAGCCUAAAAGCCGAUACCGAUACAUGAAAUUGCAUCAUUUCAUGUGAUUUCUAGGCUUUUCUGGACCGUGCACGCAAACCGGAGGUCGAUUAAUCCGACCGUCGUACUUGCUGACAGGUUUCAGCAUGUCGGAGGCCGUGCUCACCUUUCGGAGCACUGCCGGCCACUGCGGUGCGCGCACGAGCGACGCGAAGUACUGAAAAACUGCGCGCACAGCGCGAAGAUCGCGACUAACUCACAAACCAGGGCAUCUUUGCCGCUGUUGGAGGUGAGCACGAUGUUCAGCACGAGUUGUAGAUCAUCGUGCUCACUUCCCGAAACUUAGAAGGCUUCUCGGAUCACCGGAAAAGAGACCGGAACCUCGGAAAACAGUGCUGGAACAUAAAAUGUCCUUACCAGACCCGAGGAGAGCUAGGGUUGGUCGCCGGCGGCCGGGAGGCGGGCGGUCCGGCCGGAGGAGGGAGCACUCGGUCCAGGAGGUCCGGGGAGGGUGCUGGCCGGCGGCGGGCAGCAACCGGUGGCGCGGCGGCUGAGAUCCACCCAGCACACCUCCUCUCGGGUUUGAUCUUCCCGGCGGCGCGGCGGCGGCCGGAGGGGAUCGGGGCGGCGACGGUUCGGCGCCGGAGGUCGAGGGGGAGGCCGUGCACCCUACGGUGGGCUGCGGCAGCGCCUAGAAGCUGGGCGGGCCCGACCUCGGCCCGCACGUGCCUGGGCGGCCCCAGGAAGUUCCAGCGGCGGCCGGCGGCGCGCGGGGACGGCGGGGGACGCGCGCGCCGGGUUGCCGGAGGUCGCCGAGGCCGACUGGAGGGCGGCGCGGCCGAAGUGAGGCGAGGACGCAGCACUCGAGCCGGCUCGGUCUGGGCUGACCCGAGCUGGCUGCAGGGAGCCGGGGUGGCUCCGGCGGCGCUCGAGGGUGGCCGGGGCCGGCGGGGGAGGACGCCGGAGGAGAGCCUCGGCCAGGGGAGGGUGGAGCUCGGCUUUGAAGCUUUCCCGAGCACAACAAUCGAAAAAGGGUGGCAGGUCGGCUAGGGGAGAGCUGAGAGGUGGCCGGGGUGACUUUUCCGGCGGCCGGAGCAGCCUGCCGGCGGCCGGGGCGUGAGCACGAGUUGGGCAAGGAGAAGGUGGGGUGGUUAGGGCAGCUGGGGAAAAUUAGGGUUAGGGUUUCCUUAGCCGAACCCUAAAACCCCACUUAUAUCACAUGACUAAUUGUCGAAAACCCCUCCUAGUCCAAUACCCUUUUUACCAAGCCCCCUGCCAACAUGUGGAAAAUCCGCAUAGGUCCCUCGACAUUCGAAUUCGCGCAAGAUCGCGCAUAAAAUAUUGGACCUUUUCGCGAUUAAUCGGUUUUGCCAACUUGACCUCUUAGCGGACUUUUCACGAUUCCCGAAGAUCCGUCCGUCGGAUUUCCGAACGGAUUGCGCCAUCGCGUUCAGUACGACUGGGGCGUCGAAUCUAGCAUUUUACUUUAUCCGAUCUGGUCUCCGAUCAGCGUCAAAACCAGCCCUCUUUGAUUCCACCCAAAUAACCAUUUAUGUAUUUUCCAUUAAACCCCUUUUUCUCGACAACCGUGCAUCAGAACCUGAUUCCGUCAGUGCCAUUGGGUCCAGGAUAGUCGAGCGGUUGAAAACGAGCUAUUGGAAGGCUAUAAUCGGAGUCCGAUACGCGUCGAAAGUCCACUCUACUUCUCGGCCUCUCCGGAAAACCGGAGUUACUAUUCACUUAAGUCGAACUUUCGGGUCGCGUAACUUCUCCGUUUUAACUCGUUUUCUCCUGAAAUUUGACGAGUACACUUAUAAUUAUAUUACACACAAGAACAUCGUCAAACAAAAGGGUUUAAUCAAUAAAUGAAAUAUCUCAGUUAUUACAUCUUUACCAUGUGGCAAGCCAAAAAUUUAGUUAACGCAUGACAAUCUUAUUUACGACAAUUAUAUUAUUUAUAACUAAAAGAAUUUUAGAUUAUUAAGCAAUCAGUGUAUUUAUCUAUAACUACAUCUAAUGUAUAAACAUAGCCAAUCUUAAUUUUUUAAAAAAAAAUUAUCUAUGUAAAUAAUUACCUUUUAGAGUUUUUUAUAAAUUUUUAUAAAUUUAUUUUUCAAAAUUAGUAGUUUAUAUAAUUUUAAAAAAAAAGAUUUUAAAAACAUUCAUGUGGAACGAGUGGGUUAACAACUAGGUCAAUGACUAGUUUAUUUUGAAAUUAAUUAAUCCAAGAAUACAGAAGCAAAGAAUCUCCAAUUCUAUAAUUUUGAUUAGAUUUAAAAUUUGUUCUAUUCUAAAGUGCUAAGUAAAGAAUCAUACUUUUAUAGCUGAAACUUCUGUUUUCGCUAAGGAUAUGUUUGUUUGGAUGGAAGUGGGUUGGAAAUGGCAAGGGGGGAAGUCGUUUUCGCCAUAAACAACUACUUCCGUUGUUUUGUUUGCCGUAAAAGUUAAAAAGUUACGAUCGAAAUUCGAGUUAACUUCAAACGGCGUAAUUAAUUAACUUCGGCCCAUCAAAGUCAAUUACGGUGAAGAAAAGUAAAGAAAAAAAUAAUAAAAUAAUAUAAUAGUUAAAGAAAGUUAUAUUUAAGUAUAUUUAAUUAUAUUACUAUUUUUUUUUUUUAGUUGGUAUAUUCAAAAUAUGAUAAAAAUUGAUUAGUUAAGUUUUAAUAUUUUUUUAUUUAGUUUGUACAAUUAAAAUAUAAUAAAAAUUGAUUAAUUAAGUAUUAAUAUUUUUUAUUUUAUAAUUUUAUUGUUGUAUUACUAUAAUUUAUAUAUAUAAAAAUAAUUUAGUUGUUUUAAAUUAAAUUUUAAUUAUAUAAAAAUAUAAUUAUACUAAUUUUAUUUAUUAAAAUAUUUAUUAUUUAUAUAUAAAUUAUAAUUUUACAUCAUACACUCCCUACCAAACAAAUAACAGAACUAAUAAAACUCCACUUCGUUAACUACGAAACAAACAGUAAAAAAAUAGUUUUCACCGAACUCCAUUUCAACCCAGAGUUUACUUCAACAUAAAAUCCAAUUUCAGUAAACCAAACAUGUCCUAUAAGUGACAAGCCAAAUUAUUAACACGUGGAAGUCUUACUUAUGGCAAUUAUGUUUUUAUAAUUAAAAUAAAUUUAGACUAUUGUGGGAAGAGUUAUAAAUAGAAAAGAAAUUCAAGUAUGCAUUCAGUACAUUUACCAAUAGCUAUAUCUACUAUAUUAUCUUAUCCAAUUCUAUUCUAAAAAAAAAAAUUAUCCCUUCAAGUAAUUAGGUGUUAAUUUUUUUAAUUAAAUUUCAUAAAAUAUAUCAUUUUUUUCUAAAAUUAAUUUAUUAUUUUUUAGAAAGUAAAAUCUUAAAAUUGUUCGUGUGCAACACAUGUGUUAACGGCUAUUUUAUUUUGAAAUUAAUUGACCUAAAAAUAUCGAAGCAAAGAAUCCCCAACUCUACUUCACUAAUCUUUAAUUUGGUUUCAAAUGGGUUCAUUUCCAAAGUGAGAAGCAAAAAAUUAUACUUUUGUAACUGAACCUUGUAAUUUUGCCACGUGGCUAGCUAAGUUGUUGACACAUGGGAUUCUUAUUUAAGACAAUUAUAUUGUUUAGAAUAAUUUAAAAAAGUUUAAGCUAAGCAAUCCAAUGAUAUUAAAGCAAAGAAUCCCAAGCCCUACAAAGCGGCAAGUAAGAAAAACAUCCUUUUAAUUUGUAGCCAAAGCUUUCUAAGUCAAAUUAUUGAUACGUGACAAUCUAACUGUAACAACAUCUGAUCUACUAACAAUAAUAACUCGUUUGGGCUAAAUCAUUAGGCCAAAAUACUUAAACUCGGUUAUUAUUAUUAGGAUCUCAUUUCCAUCCGAUGUGGAUGUGGGACUAUUAGGGUGUCACAGAUUCCACGCAAUGUGAGAUCCACCUCAAACUUUAGGCCAUAACGUUCUUGUCAGCCCAAUCAUACAUAUAGCCCAAUGUUAAUAGGCGAUGCGAGAUUCUAACUAGUGAGCUAACUCUGAUAUUAAAUCUAACUAUUCAAAUCAUUAGCAAUAAUAACUCGUUGGAUCUAAACUACCGGUCCAAAAUACUUAAAAACAGUUAUUAUUACUACGGUCCAUGGUGUCUAUUUAUAUUUUUGAUAUGGGACUAUUGGAAUAUCAUACUAACAACAAUUAUAAGGUUUUAUAAAAAGAAGUUUUAAAUUACUGUCGAAAAAGCAUGAAAAACCCUUGGUCAUGCAAUCAAUAUAUUUGUCAUACCCGGGUGAAGAAAAUGUUUAUUUUGAAAUUAAUCGGCCCAAGAAUAUUGAAGCAAGGAAUCUCAAACGCUAAAUUUUUAAUUUGUUUAAAAUAUGUUUCUUUCUAAAGCGACAAGUAAAGAAUCAUACUUUUUUGGCUGAACCAUUUGUGUUUACCAAGCGGCAAUCUAAUUAAUUAAGACAAUUAUAUUAUUCAUGUGCAACUUACAGAUUAACGGCUAGUUUAGAUGGAAAUUGAUCGACACGAGAUUAUAAAAAUAAAACCCUAUGUCUUUAAUUUUUAUUAAAAUGGGUUUCUUGCCAAAGUGGCGAGCCGAAGCUUUUGCUUCCACCAUGUGGCAAUCGAAAUUACUCAUAUGUUACGGCACACCUAGGAUUUAAAAUAGUCCGAUAUAUGAGAUGUAAUAGGGUUAAGCUUCUUAAUACUAUGUAGCAUUUUGAGCGAUGGUUAGAUUCGAGAGAUUAAAAUGGUUAAGCAUGCUAAAAUUAGAAUAGUUCUAGUAUAGAGAAAGCGGGGCAUCAUACAUGCAGCAAUUUUUUUUACGACUAUUAUAUUUUUACAAUUAAAAAGGUUUCAAAAUCAAAUAAUCUCCAACUCUACAUCUUUAGUUUGCUUUAAAAUGGGUUCUUUUUUCCAAAUUGGCAAGUAAAGAAUGAUAUUUGUGUAAGCAAAGUUUUUACUUUCAGUCAACAGCACGCCAAAUUAUUUACAUAUGUGACAAUCCUUUUUAAGACAAUAAUAUUAUUUGUAUAAACCAUUAAAACUAGAAAAAUAAAUUUGGUUUGCAAUAAGUAAAUCUAUCAGUCGCUGCAUCUUAAAUUUCCUUGCUUUAAAAUAUGGCUAAAUUACAGAAAACCUCCCUGUAAUAACCCGCUUUUUCACUUUCCCCCCCUGACAUUUAAAAACCUACACUUUGCCCCCUUGUAAAAUGAAAAAUGUGCACUUCACCCCUUCCGUUAGGGUUCCGUUAGGGGUUCUGUUAAAAAAUAUUUUUUUAUACCGAAAAUACCCCUCUGCCUCUUCUCGGAUGCUUCGCUCCCUCCGGCUCGCCGCUUCGCCGCUUCGCCGCCUUGCCGCCUCGCCGCCUCGCCGUCCUCCACUGCUUCGCCCUCGCCCACGUCCCCUUCGUCCUCCUCCGCAGCCUCGUCUUCGCUCUCGUUGUCCCUGUCUACCUCUCCAUCAACACCCAUCGCCGAAAUCGAUGGGCGGCGACGGUGUAGGAGGAGAAGGGGAGCUGGUGGAGAAGAAAUUUGAGAGGAAUCGUGGCCGAUUGAGGUGGAAAACCGGCGGAUCGAAGGGGCGGCUGAGGAAGCUCAGGAAGAAGACAACAAUGGCGAGGGGCAAAAUGGUCAUUUUACACACCGUAACCCCCCUGUGAACAUUUUUCAUUUUACAAGGGGGCAAAGUGUAGGUUUUUAAAUGUCAGGGGGGGAAAGUGAAAAAGCGGGUUAUUACAGGGGGGUUUUCUGUAAUUUAGCCUUAAAAUAUACUCCUUCCCAACAUAGCAAGUAAAGAGUAGGACUUUAUUUCUCAUACUUGCUAAUUAAUACAUUACUUUCUAAUUGCUUUGUUCAGCAAGUUGAAAGCCAUUUGGAUCUCUCUGCGGCUCUUUAAUUUCUCCAUAACGCACAAAUACAAAUUUAAUCAUUCGGGUACGCACACAUUUAAUUUCUUACAUUAUUCUUAUUACUUAUCUUUUGAUUUUUAUUUCAUUAUUUUUCUGAUUUUAUUAUUGGUUAUUGUAAUUGAGAUUUAAGGCUUCUUUUUAUUCAAUAGGGAUUAAGCCCCUUAAAUAACAUGAUUACAUAACUGCAAAAAAAAAAAAAAGAACUUCUAAUAAUAUAAGAUAAUUAUUCAAAUAUUAAAUCAAGCUUUGAAGGAAAGAAAUAACAUUCUAAUAUGGUAUGUAAUUAAAACCCAAAUGAAAACCAUGGUAUAUGGUUUAUUAAACAAAUAUAUUGCUUUUCUAACACAGCUUAUUUUUUAAACUAUUUGACACUUUAGCAAUAGUUUUAAGAUCUAUAAAUUUUUAUGUACAAACUAUGUAACGCUCUAGAUUAGGUGUUUUUNNNNNNNNNNNNNNNNNNNNNNNNNNNNNNNNNNNNNNNNNNNNNNNNNNNNNNNNNNNNNNNNNNNNNNNNNNNNNNNNNNNNNNNNNNNNNNNNNNNNNNNNNNNNNNNNNNNNNNNNNNNNNNNNNNNNNNNNNNNNNNNNNNNNNNNNNNNNNNNNNNNNNNNNNNNNNNNNNNNNNNNNNNNNNNNNNNNNNNNNNNNNNNNNNNNNNNNNNNNNNNNNNNNNNNNNNNNNNNNNNNNNNNNNNNNNNNNNNNNNNNNNNNNNNNNNNNNNNNNNNNNNNNNNNNNNNNNNNNNNNNNNNNNNNNNNNNNNNNNNNNNNNNNNNNNNNNNNNNNNNNNNNNNNNNNNNNNNNNNNNNNNNNNNNNNNNNNNNNNNNNNNNNNNNNNNNNNNNNNNNNNNNNNNNNNNNNNNNNNNNNNNNNNNNNNNNNNNNNNNNNNNNNNNNNNNNNNNNNNNNNNNNNNNNNNNNNNNNNNNNNNNNNNNNNNNNNNNNNNNNNNNNNNNNNNNNNNNNNGUAGCAAUUAAGCUACCCACCAAAUAUCAAAUGACCAACCAACUAGUGGUGGUAAGCUUAAUUAACAUUUAAUUUAAGGGUUAAUUUCAUGAGUGUCCCUCUACCCAUAUCUAAUUACAAAGAAACCAUCCAAAAAUUGUCAAUAUCAAAAAUACUUUUUACAUUUAGAAAGAUUAUAUGGCUUAAAUGCUCAUUUUAACCCUCUUACCUUUUCAAUUGCUGUAAUAUAUAUUAUUUUCAAAAAAAGAAUGCAUUUUUUAUUAAUUAGUAUUCUUAUGUUUAUAUUUUUAUUACUUUUAUUUAGACUACUUUGGGUAUCCUAAAUAAGGAAGCUAUUCCAAGAGACAUAAAUUAAUACAAAAGUCACAAAUUAUAUGUUAAUUAACUAUUAUGAGGGGUAAAUACGUCUUUUUGGUAUUCUAACUUAAGCAAAUUUGACGAAAUUAAUGGACAUUUGCAAUAUAAUUUAUAGAUUUGUAGGAGUAAUAUUGAUAUAUAUUGACAACUUUGAAGAGGUAUCUUUGAUAUUUUUUAAAUUUUGAGGGGCAUGUUUGAAUUGCCCCUAAAAAAAAUGUUCAAAAAAUCAAACUUUCCAUUGAUCACCCCUAAAUCGAUAUGAAAAUUUUCCUUGUAAAGUUUAAUAUCAAUGUAAAUAAUUUUAAAGGUGUGUGAAAAAGUUUUAAAACAUUUUACAUAAAGUGAAAAAAUUUGUAUUUAAUUAGUAAUAGAGAAUCUGAAAGGCUACGAAGGUUUAAAUUUUUAUUUAAUUAUAUUUAUUAGUGGAAUAUUUUAAGUUUAGGUUUUCUUAGUUGAUAGAGUAAUUAAUAAAUCAAGAGUCUAAAACAUAUUUAGUACUGCACAAGUAUAGAUAAUUUAUUUAAUUUUUUGCUUUAUAGUACAAUGUAGAUGCAGAUAUAGAUGGGCAAAAUUGCGCUCGUAAACGCACGUUUAGAAUGAAAAAUUAUAGCAGAACAUAAACAAUUUAAUCAAAACGUAGUAAGCGAAAAGAAAUGAAAUUUUAUUUAAAUGAAAAGGGAAAAUUAUUUAAUUUUACUUACUAAAGAGUGAUUAAAACUAUUUAACUUGAUAAAAUCUCAUCAAGCAAUUUGAUAAAUUGAUCCUUUUUUUUUCCUUACAGUUACUUAGUUCUAAAAAAUCAAAAUUAGUUCCAGAAAAAGUGUAAAUCCAAAAAUAAAUAAAUUAAUUAAUUACUUAUAAGUUAUAACAAGGAAAACCUUUUCACCAUCGUAGUUAUAGUGCAUAGGAUUUGCAACACCUAAUCAAAUAUCUCCCUAUUACAUAAAAAUAAAAUAAAAUAAAAUUACUAUUUUAAUGUACAAUUACUUUUUCUUUUCUUUUUUUUCUAAUCGGGCUUUUUUUUUUUUCUAACUGUUUUAAUUUACAACCCAUUCAACUUAAUUUUUAAGAUUUAAAAUGCAUUUAAACAAAUUUUAAAAUAUAUAAAAUUAUAAGUUUAAAAUCAUCAAAAAUUAUAAGUUUAUUAAUUUUCAAACUUUAAAAAUAAAUAAUGUAAUAUUUAAAACUGUGUAAAUUUAAUACUCUUUAUUUUCAAAGCUUUUAAUUCGUAAUAAUUUAAUAUUUCACAAUCUCUUACAUACGUACCUUCAAGUAGCCACAACCCACAACGGGUGUGUGUGUGUCUAAAAUUAUGAAAAUAUCUCAAUUUGUAAUUAAUUAGAUAUACUGUUUUUGUUUGAAUAAUAAAUCAUAUAUAUAUAGAGGCCAGGUUAAUUUGUAGCUAGCGAGCAGGGAGAAUUAUUAAUUAAGAAAAGAAAAGAAAGCUACAAAUUAAUUGACUAGCUCGAUCGAUCGGUGAAUAUAUAUAUAUAUUAUUCUCUGCACAGAUGGAUGACGAUCGAUUAAAUUAAAACCCAGCUAUCAACAUGAGCAUCCGGCGGUUUCCCUACGAAAGGCAAAAGGAUUUUGUGCUUGAAACCUUGCUCAAUGGAUCCUAUCAGAAGAUCUACGUGGAGGCAUGGGAGGGAGUCGGGGCGACCGCUUUACUCCGAGAGGUGGCGGAAGCGGUCGAGAAGUCGGAGAAGCGCGAGUUUGAGACGGUGAUCAAGGUGGUGCGGCCCGCACCAUUUCGGAACGGCAGGGAGAUGCAGAGGGCGGUGGCGGAGCAGCUGAAUCUUCUACUACGAUCUCCUUCGGUGACGGCUGCUGCUUUCGACGCGGCGGACGAAAACGACGACUUCUCGGGUGUGGAAUUCAGCUCAAGAGGCCUGCUUUUGGAGGUCGCAAAGGAGAUCUACCGAGCUGUGGAGGGUCGUAUCGUGCUGCUCGUCUUUUGCAAUAGUAUUGCGGAUGACAAAUUAAUUGACCCUAUUGAUUUGGGUAUUCCUAUCAUAAAGGGGUUGAUCAGCAAUGCGGUGUUGUGGACCUCUGGGAUGACUAUUAGCAGGGAAGCCACGUCAGUGACUGCGGAUUAUAUCGUAAGGUUUCGGCCAUCAAACGAAACAACCGCACUUGAUCUUGUGUACAAGGAGGCCGUCGAGAUUGCCCGAUAUAUUGACGAGAGCAGCGGUGGGCGCUUGCGGACCACCACGGAAUUAGUCCUCCGCUGCUUUUGGUAUUGCCUGCUGUUGUUGCGUAGAGCAGCGUUUAACCGAUCGGCACUACUACCCGAUGGUGGUCGGCCCCUGGAAGAUGCUGCCAAGUAUUUUGUGUGCGACGGAAUUUUACCAGGAGAUGAUGCGGCGGCAUGGGAGAUUGGGAAAGCACUAGCUCCGGUGAUUGGACCCAUAGUAAAUGAUCAACAACUGCAAUAUUGGCAGGAAGAAUUAACCUCUUCCACUUGGACGCGGAGGGAGGAAAAGAAAGAGUUGUUGCCCCCGAAGACUUUAUUGGUCGACUCUACCACAUGGGGAGAUUGGGUAAAGUUCUCAUUGCCAUCAUCGGAGGAGGAGGAGGAGAGUUACCGUUGGAUCUCAGUAUGCUUUCCUCAAACUAGUAUUCCAAAGCCAUGGGAUUUCUUCUUCGAAGUAUGUCGCAGUUCAGUCACGUCCGACGUUUCAUCCGUCUUCUUCGAGCAUUUUGAGGAAACGCACGAAGCUCUACCGGACGGCUUCUUCGUCGACCAUUUCAGCAACGUUCGAGUGCUAGACCUUCUCGGCUGCGUAGUAAGUCCUAUAGGACAUUCCUCCUUCCUUCGUCUUCGCAACCUGAGAAUGCUUAGGCUGGAGCUGUGCAAAGUAACUUCUCUUGAUCCUAAUUCUCAUUCUUCAGCACCAGAGGGGCGACGAGAACCAUUACUUUUUGAUAACUUAUGGGUCCUGAAUUUAUACAACUCGGAUGCCGAUGCAUUUCUUUUAGGAGGCAAAGCCUUUGAGCUCACGCCUAACCUCCGGGAGCUCGGUCUCACUGAUUGCGAGGGUUUACAAUAUCUAAACUUCAAUCUCCCUACAACAAUCGAAACAAUCAGCCUACAAAGGUGCGCAUCGCUAAAAGAGGUGGAGCUAGUCGGCCCUGCAGCUGCUCCUUUGCCCAACCUCAAGACCUUCCGCCUCAGCGGCUCUAAGCUGAUCGCCAAGCUCUCCCUACAAGGAUGCCAUAAGUUGGAGAACGUAGACCUGCAGGAAUUGACGGGGCUCGAGGUGCUCGAUCUUUCAUGCACCGCAAUAAAAGUAGUGGAUAUCAGCAAACUCCCACAACUGAAGCAAUUAUUUCUUCUCAGAUGCAAGCAACUCCUUAGAGUAGCCGGUCUUUAUAAAAUAUCAGAAGAACUAGAUGUGAUGUACUUGGAUAACUACAACGGCGGCGGUGCUUGCGACGUCGAUCGGUGCCUUGAUUCUUUUCGAAAUCAAAGACUAAGUGAGUUAAACAAAGGGAUUAAUGAUGCUGAUCAAAGAUUAUUCCAUGCUCAUGUGGUCGUGAGGGAUGUUAGGCUCUCCCGGUCACUUUAUGAUGCUUUUUUUAAUUUAAGCAGAGCAAAAUCCUGCUUCCAUAUCCACGUCAAGGGUUCUUCAACUGCUAAGAGAGGCACUAAUAUUGGUACUACCACCAGAUUGAAUGCUACUAUAACGUCGGCAUCAUGUUAUGCAGAUGUUUUAAACACUAUGAUAGAUCGUCACCGUCGACAUCACCCGUCGCCACCUGCUAUGCACCUGAAUAAUCACAUAGAAGUUGACGGAGGUCACGAUUCCAGAAUAGUAAAGGAAUUUGCAUUUAGGGCCAUAAUGGGAUAUUUUGCUAAUUCUUUAUUCAUUCACGACAACACAUCUAAUUUUACCAUGGACAUUAAAUUCAGAGAUCUCAAAUGUUUCAGCAUUGAGAGGUGCCCUAAUUUGGAGUUUAUCUUCUCUUGGGAGGAUGAGUAUAAUUAUUUGCUGGAAUUAGAAAGCAUAUGGCUCAGCCAACUUCCGACGCUCAAAGCUUUAUAUAAACAAGGAAGGAUUGGGCAACUAAAGCAUAUUGACUUAGAGUUUUGUGCGAGACUAGAAUAUGUAUUUCCCCCGGUAUCGGAGCUGCAUGACUUGGAAACAAUCAACAUCCGUUAUUGCGGCGAUCUAACGGCAAUUUUCAAAUCUGAUGAUGAUGAUAAUAAAGAUAAAAGAGGAGCUGCUCCAAAGCUACUUCCGAAACUGAGGUCCAUCCAUCUACAGGAGCUUCCAAAGCUACAACACAUAUACAAGCUAAACAUUUGUGCUCCGUCGCUGGAAGAGAUCAAGAUUGUGGGGUGUUUCAAUCUGAAAAAACUUCCUCUUUUCGGCCGAUCGGACGCUCGUUCAAUGAGAGCUGUGAAGAUUAGCUGCGAGAAGGAUUGGUGGGAUAAGCUACAAUGGGAUGGAUUAGAAUCCAACCACCACUCCUCUCUCUUCAAGCCAAAACAUUGUCCUUACUAUAAGAAGCGUAUGAAAGCUAGAUAUUUAUGAAGCACAGCUCUGCUCCAAUGUUCAUAUGCAAGGUGAACCCCCUCUCUCUCUCUCUCUCUCUCUCUCUCUCUCUCUCUCUCUCUCUCUCUACAUAUUAAUUGUGUAUUUGUGUGCAUAUACACGCAUAUGUGUGCUUGAUCGUGUGCGUCUAUAUAUAUUGAUGUUUGCGAAGCUCUUCAUAUGCUUUUGAGAAAUAAGCUAGCCACAGUGCAGCAUGUUCUUUCUUUUCUAUUUACAGGCGUGAGCUUGUCUACGUGUGUAAAAAUAUUAUAUAUAUAUUUAAUUUCUUGAGACUUGAGUGUGUAAUAAAGAAAAUGUCUAAGCAUAUAUUUGACUUUUGCAGACAACAAGUGUAGUGUUCUUGACCUUUGAAUAGGAUUGGCUUCAGUAUUAGUGACUGGUCGACGUCUCUGGAGAGUGUCGGACUGAGUCGGAGUCAAUUCUGCACGAAUUGGAUGCAGAAUUGGACUCGGCGCACUCAAAUAGGCAAAACUGGAGUUUUGCCAGAUUCGGGCGCCCAGAACAUUGUUAGGGUCGCCCAGAACUGAGUGUUGAAUUUAACUGAAACUGGAAGCCAAUUCGGAUCCCAUGUUCCGGGCGCCCAGAUGUGGGUCCGAAAAUUCGACAUCGUGAAUAUCGCUUGCUUCGACGCGUGGCAGGCGGUAGGUGAGUUCCGCCGGAGCCAUGUACGGGCGCAGCACACCGCGGGCGGAGAGUCCGAGGAGCCUGUUUUGUGCAGGCCGGAUGUUCUGGUCGCCCAGAACAUAGUUCCGGGCGCCCAGAAAUGCCCGUUUCUGCAGGGACACUGGAUAGCAGCUUGAGUUCCUGAGGCUUUCUGGAUCAUUUUAACUCUCUAUAAAUAGAUGGAAUACGCCCCUUUGCUGCUCUUUUCCUCCCUUCUUCACAGAGAAGUCCCUUUUAGUAUCUCUACCCUCGGAUUUGCCUCAAAUUGCAUCAAACUUCCAUUGAUCCAGCUUGAGAGAGUGCUGAUUCUACAGUUCUUCAGCGGCGACCUCUAGUGUUUUGGCUCGUGCGCAACGUAGGAGGAUCGGAUUUCGACGAAACUUGGUUUGCUGGAUUCUAGACUUCCAGCACGAAGCCCUGAAUUGCAGAUUUUGGUUGAGGUUAGCUUGGUCGAAUUGAGGUUUUUCUGGACUGCUGUUGGUUUUGAGCUGAAAAUGGGAUUUUCGAGUUUUUCUUGAUGCUAUCUUUGUUGGCAAUGGGAUUUUGGACCUGAGUUUGAUCACCCUUCAGUAGUUGCUGGAUUUGGAUCUGUCCUCACCCGAAUUGGAGAUCAUUAGGUGAGUUUUGACAUUGGAAUUGGAUAAAUCCUAAGCUUAAAGUGCUGAAUUUGGGAAAUUGAUGGUUUUUAUUGGAUUUUUGGUGAAUUAGUGGUAAUCCAGAUCUGAGGGGCUUGUUGCUGGUUUGGAGGUGUUUCCAGCAGUGUUGCUUGUGAUCCAAGACAUCUUGCUGCCAGGAAUUGAUAGAGGUGGUGUAUCACUCGGUUUCGCUCCUAAGUGCAUGUUUAGUCGACGUGUAUAGUUCGAUUUUUGUAUAUCAUGCUUUAAUUCAUCGAUUAGCAUUUUGGACGUAAUAUGAUAUAAAUGCAUGCUGAAAUGAAUUGUUUUUAUUAUACAUGGUGGACUUGAAAUUUGACUUAGGAGAAAACCUGCGUUUUGACACCGUCAUAUGCUUAAACUAGCAGAUUUAGCUCUAGGAGUCGUGUUUCGAUUGUAUCGUUGCCGCGUAUCAGUGCGAUGGAUACCUGGGUAGUUUAGAAGGCAUUUACGCUCGUGCUGGGAUGCCGAGCUUAUUUUUCAGCAGAGUAUAGGCUGUUCGGGUCGUGGGUGCCUGUUCGGUGCGGUGGACCCAGAUUCUUGUUUUGAUCAGCGAUUAUGCCGAGGGCAACGUGGUUUGGUUUGUAGACCUGUUUUGACCCUGUUCACAUUGGACUUUGGCUAGUUGGAACCUGAUUGAGCUCGACAAAGAUCACCUCAUACUCGGUUGGUUAGCGCCGACGGAAGUGCAUCCGGAGUCAGGCUUUGGCUUUUCGCCGUUGUGCGUCGCUCAUGCCGGUUGGACUUGUCUCCGGACCAGUUGUGUGGAUAGAGCCUAUGUUGCACUGGGCGAGGGACUGUGUGUUCACAGUCCAGGAGGGAUAUGUCUACCAGUCCGCAUUGGAUUGCGCCGUACAGAUUGACUUUCCUGAAGUGGUUAGUGCUUAGAGCGCAUGAUAGUAUACGUGAUUUGGUAGCGGUUUAGUUUAUUUCCUGGCUUUUUGGUCUUUCUCUUCCCUUCUUAGACUUAGUGGGUGCGACCGAUGUUGUUUUGGGCGGUACCCACUGAGGACUACUUGUUUUUACAGUAGUUCUCACUCCUAGUUGUUACCCCUGUUUUGCAGAGCUACAGGUUUCGGCUGCUGCGCCUUCCGCAGAUCAGGAUCGAGGCAAGGGCGUCGCGAGUUAGAGCCCUACCCGACGUGCUGAGCUAGAGGUGCCCCUACUGCAGGUAGAUGUUUUGUUUCGAGUUUAUGUACAUAGUGGACUUAACUCGCCAGUGCGAGUAGCUUUGUAUUUUGGCUUUGGACUAUGUAUAUGAAACUCAGUUUGUUUAGCUUCUGUUUUCUCUAGCAGCUCUCUACUACUGUUCGUAGUAGUGUUUGAUUUACAGGUACAGCUAUCGUUUCGUAUACAGGGAAAAUUCCUUUGUAUACGGCGGAUUUGUCGGCGCGCCCGGGAAAAGUGUAAUCCGGGGCGUGUAAUCCGGGGCGUGACAACAAGGACGACAUUUAUUCAUUUUUCUUAUCUUAUUUUCUACUCUCUCUCUAUCACUGGUAGUUUUCUCUAAGUUAUGUGAACCAAUUCAAUUUACAUUAAUCUAUGUUACACAAGGGAUAAAUUACACAAAUUAUUAAUACAGUGAAGGUUGUCUAACAGUUUGCAUGCAUGAUUAAUUAUUUAGGUCUUACGUUAAUAGCCGAAUAGAUUUGAAUUGAAUUGGCAAAACCUGUGUAAAUUUGUGGAAUUUUUUUUUAUAGAUCCGCAUGCUUUGAUUCUAGAGAUCUCCAAAGAAAAAUAAAUAAAUAAAUAAAUAAAGUAGUAUUUCCAAAGUAACACGAAAGGACUUUCCGUUCUCUAUUACAUCCUAUGUAUUAGUACUUCACAUUCUCUAUUACGAAUCCGUCUAGAAUACUAUCGAUGGUAGAUUAAUAGUAUUUAUUAUUUAUUUUCUAGCCCUUAAAUCAAAUACUACUGUAACUACGGCUACUAACCAAAGUCAUCCAAAAAUUAAAAACUGGAUAGCAAAUACUUUUCCUUUAUUAUUGAUAGUAUUCUAACUUUACUCCUCUAUAACAUCCUGUAAAUUAGUAAGUUGUGAUUUUUCGUUCCUGUUAUUAAUGUAUCAUACAAGCCAUUUUAUUUGCUAAAUAAUUUUUUGAAGGUCUUUUUUAAAUCAUUGUUAUUAGCUUAUAUUUUCUGCAUUAUUUGUUGAGAAAUUUUGGCAUUUUAUAUCAGAAUUAGUCAGAAUUGAAGUCAAUUUAUGGCAUUUUUUGACUCCAGAAAAAAAAUUGAAAUUAAUGGAUGACUCUAUUUGUUGGUGCGUGAUAUGCAGAAAUUUUAUUCUGACUCUGAUUUAUGGGUGAACUGAGAAUUCCUCAUUCAAAUCUUCUCCAAUCUGACUUAGAAGGUUGGACUAAAAAUUAAACUCCGGCGAAAUUGAAACUGAUUCUUAAAUUCAAAAUGUGGCUAGGCCACCUUUCUUCAGACCAUGGCUGAGUACGGCACCCGGCCGCAAGCUUUAUUCAAAAUAACGUCGGCUUAUACAUUGAAUAAGGGAAAAAUAGCUUGUAGGGCAUGUUUGUUUCAUCGAAAGUAAAGUGAAGUGAAGUUGUUUAUUAUCAUUAAUAACUAACUACAUUUGUUAUUUGAUUCACCGUACAUUAUAUUUGCCUAUAACUCUAUUUUUUCAGGAUACUAUAAUUGACUUCGUCUCAGUGGCGGUGACGUCAAUAACCGGAGAAAAGAUAGAAAACAAUAAUGAAAAAUAAUGAAACACUAUAAUGAGAAAAAAUAGGGAAAUGACCAAACUUGAAAGUCAAUAAAUGAUCACUAGCAAAAUAUUUCUAAAUUAUGUAAAAAGAUGCUCAGCAGGGACUUUUUUGAAAGAAAAACUUAUAUUCAAGACUAACAUGAAAAGAAAAUAAAUUAGAAACUUUCUUGAAAUUGUCCUAAAAGUUAGAGCUCUCUUUAGAAAAUUCUAAAGUCACGAACUGCAUAACUAAUAACUAGUCAUUUCCACAAUCAAUGUCUAGUGCAAUUGGUUGAAGGGGUAAAUUAGUCCUGACAUUUUGUGGGAAAAAUAAAAAUUAAUAAUUUACUAGAUCUAGGAAGAUUCUAUUAAGGUGGGAUCUAUUGGCUUAUUCAAACAAUUUUUUUUAAAAAAAAACUAGUUAUUUGCAUUAAAAAGGAAAAAAAUUCCAACAUAACAGUACACUGCUGAGAAUGAUAAAUUGAACUUGAUAGCUAGAUAAACUUUUAACUAUCUCUUUAGUCUUCAAACAUACACCUGUAGAAUUAGGGAUAAUGCUAAGUCCUUUAUGACAUAGAAUUGGAGAUUAAGGGAAAUGUUAACCUACAACUUGUUCAUGAGUUGAUUAAUUAUCAUGGAUAUAUGAUGAUGAUGAUAUCAUGUGAACAUUUUGUUUAUUGCUUUUCUGAAGUGGUUGACCUUGUUGCCAGCAAGUAGUUAGAGGAUUACUCACAUGACCACUCACAAUGGUAAUGCAUGUUUAUUGGUAUGGAAGAUUAUUUCAAUUGGCUAAGUAGUGUAUCUUAAAAUUUUGGUAAAUUAUUCUUUUUCAAUUUGUUGAAUAUAAAAUGUUAACUCAUCAGCUAUGUAGUUAUGAUUUUUGAGACAAAGCAGAAGGUCGUGAGUUCCAAAAAUGCUCUGCAUUUGAUCUUCUUAGUAAUUGUUGAAUAACAAUCAAUAGUACGCAACUAGCUACAUUCUUAACCUUCCAAGUUAAAUAGAUUUCAGUAGAGAUAUCAUAUUCUUAAAAUUAUAUAGGUUUUGGGGUGGGCCAAAACUCACUAACAAUUGGCAUCAAAACAAGGGCUUAAAAUGUUGAAUUUAAACUGACAAAACAUCAUUCUCUAACAAUUUAAGCUUUCGGGAUAAUUUGAUCUUUUCACUAGUUUGAGAAUGUAGAGGCCACGUACAUCCAUUUACAUGCGCUCUGCACUAGUUUGAUAUUGCAGUGUCUAAAGAACACCCAUUUACAUGCUUAGAAGAUCCAAGGAAAAAAAAGAAACAAGUGGUUAAUUAAGUGACACCCUAAUAGUCCCACAUUGCAUGUAAAAGAAAUUGUGAUAGAGUAUAUAAGGAUUAAAAAGAAUUUAGUAUUAAUAAUUGGGCUUAAAUAUAUAAUUUUAGCCGGUGACUUAAACACAAUAAAUUAUUAGUACUAGUAAACUGAAUCGUUAGUGUUAAAACUUUCUUAGUAUUGCAACUUGUUCUAUACUUUACACCAAAUGAUGAAUUGCUACUAAUAUUAGUUUGACUUUUCCUCAAAGUUAGACUUUUCAGCCAUUUAUUAGAGAAUGCUAUUAUACCGUGCAACACAUGAUCGGCUCAGAAAACUACUACUUCUAAGUUUAUUUCACAGGAUAUCCUUUAUUCCAUGAAUUAAUAAUAUAAUAACUAAUAGGGUUAAUUGCAUAUAAUUUUCUAUAAACAUAUUGAAUAGCAAAUAUAUUCCUACAAAAUUUAACUUUUCAUUUUUAUCACUGCAAAAGUUCAGUGAUAAAUUCAUAGUUGCCCCUCUAGCUUGUUACCGUAUGCCCCAACUGUUAGAAUUAUACAGAAAUAUCUUCCCAAAGAAUUAUUUUAUGCAAUAACAUAAGAGAGGUAAACAAGUCAAUUUAACUCAUUUACUAACUUAGAGUUAAGUAUUUUAUUUAUGGUUUACUACAUUUUCUAGCGGAUCCUAACAAUAAGGAUAUAUUAGAAAACAUUUAGGACUUUUGUAAGAAUAUAUAUAGAUAAAAAGUUAAACUUUAUAGAUAUAUAUCUGUUAUUCAAUAUAUUUUCAGAAAGCUAGAUGCAAUUAACCCUAACUAAUUAAUGCUUGUUAGAACUUGCCUUCUGAAUGGUGGAGUAGCUCAUGUUUUAAUUGGAAGCUUAAUUUUAUCAUCUAUUUCACAAAUAAAGAAGCACACGACAAAAGAACCCAAAACAAUAAGCGCACAAAUAAUUAACGUGGUUUGUCCAAGGCCUACAUCUUUUUAUUUAUACAUUAGAAUAUAAAAGACUUUUUUUUUUUUUCUUAUAAAACUGUAAUUCUCAAAAUUUAUUCAAUGCUAGCUUUUUCUCGUACUGAGAAUCUACGGAAUUGGGAAUGAUUUUGGCUUAACUUUAAAUUUCUAUUUCUCAUUUGAUUAAAAUAUUUAAAUUUUUAAUUUGAGAUUUUGAAUUUGACUUUGAAUUUUGAAUUAAAGUUAAAACUACUUACUGUGCCCGGAUCCAACGUAGACCCCAAAUUUUCGACAACAUAUUGUGUCAAAAUUCAGACCCAGUUUAGAAUAAGAUGUCUGGGUCCGGUUUUUGAGCCAAAAUUUUAAAAAAUAUAGGUGAAAUUAAAAUUUGAAUUCAAGAUUCUUGUAUUCAAAAUGAAAAUAUCGAAAUCAUAGAGAUAGUUCAUAUAUCCUUGUAAAAUAAACAAUUUUAAGUUAAAAAAAAAUAAAUUGAUACAUUUUAAUUUUUACUAUUUAAACUAUUAUUGUUAAUUCAGAUCGUCGAACCGGUUUUGUCCAAAAUUUUUUUGCCCGGAUCCAACUUAAUUUUAAUUCGGAUAAAAUAAUCUGUCUCGACUUGAUUUUGCGGACAAAAUUUGUGGUCUAAGAUCCAAUAAGUUUUCGGGUCCGACUAAAUUAGUCAAGCGGGUCGGGUUGUAUUUUCCCAACCCUACAAGUUUGUAAUUUUAGAUGUUAACAUUGUUAAACACAAUUUUGCAUUUAAUACCCAAGAAGUUACUUUUUUAUAAAAUCAGUUAUUUUUUCAUAUUAAAAACUGUAUUAAUUUUUAUAGGAAAAACUUUAAAUACCACCCAUAUGGUUUCGCACUUUCUCACUUUAAUACCCUAUGGUUUGGUUUAAAGUGUAUCAUUUUCAUACCAUGUAAUUUUAUUUUUCUCUUUUUGUUAUCCACUCUACUAAUUUUUUUCGUUAAAUCAGUGACAAAGUUAAAACUAAAGGAUUCUAAAAUAAAUAUAAGCGGGGUAUCUUAAAUUUUUUGUAUAUGAUUUAACAAAAAUUCUGACGAAAAGAGAAAAACAAAACUAUAGAGUACUAAAUUGAUACACUUUACACCACAUGGUACUAAAGUGAGAAAGUGUGAAACGACAGGGUUGGUAUUUAAAAUUUACCCAUAGAUAAAUUAUAUGCUGGAUGGUCCAUGUACCAUCCUUAAUAUUUGCAAUUUUAUCCUUAUACUUUUCUAAUAAUAUUUCACAUGUAAUGUCCUUUAUUAUGGUUAAUUGAAGUUGAAGCUUUUCCCAACAAAAAAUAAAAGAAAAAAAGUAAGUUGCAAUAUACAGAUAAUACAGGGACUUAUCCAUGUAUUUUUAACCGAUCAAACAACGUGGGACGUGGAGGCACGUUCGAUCGGGGGAAUCAGUGGGCCCCACAUAACGUGGUCGGUCGGUUGAGCCGUUGANAUCCAACUUAAUUUUAAUUCGGAUAAAAUAAUCUGUCUCGACUUGAAUUUUCGGACAAAAUUUGUGGUCUAAGAUCCAAUAAGUUUUCGGGUCUGACUAAAUUAGUCAACCGGGUCGGGUUGUAUUUUCGCAACCCUACAAGUUUGUAAUUUUAGAUGUUAACAUCGUUAAACACAAUUUUGCAUUUUAAUAUCCAAGAAGUAACCUUUUUAUAAAAUCAGUUAUUUUUUCAUAUUAAAAAUUGCAUUAAUUUUUAUAGGAAAAACUUUAAAUGCCACCCAUAUGGUUUCGCACUUUCUCACUUUAAUACCCUGUGGUUUGGUUUAAAGUGUAUCAUUUUCGUACCAUGUAAUUUUAUUUUUCUCUUUUUGUUAUCCACUCCACUAAUUUUUUUCGUUAAAUCAGUGACAAAAUUAAAACUAAAGGAUUCUAAAAUAAAUAUAAGUGGGAUAUCUGAAAUUUUUUGUAUAUAAUUUAACAAAAACUAUGACGAAAAGAGAAAAACAAAACUAUAGAGCACUAAAUUGAUACAUUUUAAACCACAAGAUACUAAAGUGAGAAAGUGUGAAACUAUAGGGUUGGUAUUUAAAAUUUAUCCAUAGGUAAAUUAUAUGCUGGAUGGUCCAUGUACCAUCCUUAAUAUUUGCAAUUUUAUCCUUAUACUUUUCUAAUAAAAUUUCACAUGUAAUGUCCUUUAUUAUGGUUAAUUGAAGUUGAAGCUUUUCCCAACAAAAAAUAAAAGAAAAAAAGUAACCUGCAAUAUACAGAUAAUACAGGGACUUAUCCAUGUAUUUUUAACCGAUCAAACAACGUGGGACGUGGAGGCACGUUCGAUCGGGGGGAAUCAGUGGGCCCCACAUAACGUGGUCGGUCGGUUGAGCCGUUGAAACCCCUGCUUCCUAAAUUUAAUUCAAAAAAUUAAGGUGAAAAAUUAUGUAGAGCCCCCUCUACUAUAUCGAUUUUUGUAACAUGCUCCUAAACUUUGCUUGCUUUAUUUUUUUGGAAUUAAGUAUCGUUUAUCAAAAAAUUAUAAAUUUCAUCAAAUUUAUUGAUGAUUUCACUAAAGUUAACAAUUUUAAUCAUAACUAAGUAUAAAAACUCAAAUCAAAGAUACAAGGUGAGGGAUCUCAACCCAAAAAAUAAUAGUUGAAGAGUGCAUUUCACAAUAGAUAUAGUUGAGGGGUCUUCAUACAAUUUUACCCCCAAAAACAUUUAUCUCUCUCCUCACAAAACUCCUCCCCCACAUUGAAUCCCCUCUUCACCCUCUCUAGUUGUUGUUGUUGUUGUUGUUGUUGUUGUUGUAGUAGUUUUUGUUAUUGUUGUUGUUUUUGUUGUUGUUACCAUCUUAUUGCUUCUCCCUUUUCCUCCUCUUUCUCAUUCCGUAAUCAAGGCCACAUCUUUUUCCCCUCAUCUAAUUUGUUGGGCUCUUCUCUGUGCACACCAACUGUUUGAUUCUUUGUUUGUAUGGCAAAUUCCUUCACUUUCCCCUUCUUUUUUGACCUUUACGAUUAAAUUUCAUGUCUGAUUAUGGAUUCGGAGAAUUGGGUUUCGUUUAGUUGUUUGUAAGAUGAUACUAACUGGUUAAAAAUUGAAUUUUUCUUCUUGUUCUUCUUGUUCUGCUGCAGGAUUGUUGUUAAGGAAGCUCAUUUAGAGGGGUAUUCAGGGUUGAGAAGGUUGGCAAUAUGUGGUGCUGCGGUGGUGUAGAGAAGGAGUCGCAUGGGCCGCCCGUGAACCACUACGCGGCUCCGCCGGCGCGACCGGCGGCUCCAGGUUAGUUUUCCUCUAGUUGUUUUUAUCAAAUUGUUACUUACAAAGAUCGAUCUGAUAGGAACCAGUUUAGGCCCGUUCAUGUGCACAGCGGUGAUCAGGCGAAUCAUGUCAUGUGCGCACACAAUGGAGUUGCAAAAUUAAUCCCAAGACCUAGCGGAACUGAGGGAGCGUAGGAUUGGCUCUAAAACCAUGUUACUCAAAUGAUCAAUUUAGUGGAAAAUAGUCCGAUAUUUCUUCUGUUAUCAAUCUAACAUGUUUCAUAAUUUGAUCACCUUUUCUCUGUAGUAAGUGGUAAUGCAUUUGUCUUUCUCACAAACUAGUGCAGUUUUAGAUUGGAAAAACAGAGAAAGAAUCGCCUAUUUUGUUUGAAAAGUCAACCGCGACAUCAAGAUCUUGAAAACAUUAAAUAUUCUUGUAAUUACAUGUUGAUGCAUAAAUAAUGAUAGGUAGGUCAUUUUGACACUUUGGUUUUCUUUCCUUUUUUAUCUGAGUUAGUUGACUUUGUAAAGGUCUCGAAAACAUUAUUUUUUAGUGCCAAAGACAUUACUUUUUAGUGCUAAAGAGACAUUAUUGGCAUACUACAGAGGAUUGAUCAAAAAGAAAAGGUGGUUUUUUUAUAAAUUUGUUCUCUUAUUAUAGUUUGGUUAUUAAAUAUACUAGAUGUUCGUGAUUGUUCGAGCCUCAAUGGAUAAGUUGUUUCUGAAGCCAAAGAUGGACAGCUGAAUCUUAAGAUUUAAAGACCAUAAAUGAAGAGUUAAACAAUGGGAACGAUGAUGCAUGACCACAAACAAUUUAACAACUUCCAUACCAUCAUAGGCCAAAAGUUUUGAGUUCUUUUCUGCUAAGAUGUGUUGAAAUUGGGUUAUUAAGCAGUUUAAUGCUGUGAUCUCAUAUUAGAAAUAUUUUAAGGCCAGUAACACUUGAAUAUUUCUAAGGUUUAGUUCCAAUUCUUAUUCACGUAUCUCUCUAUGUAUAUAUCUGAUUCAAAUCUGAUUAUUAACAUAUAAAAGAUAUUAAUGCCAUGCUUCUUCCCUUACCUUAAAGGCUGACCUGUUGGCUGAGAAGCACUAGAAUGAUCCCUAACAUUAAUGGUAAAUUAGAAUGCUUCUUCCUUGGGCAAUAAAAUUUACAUUUUAUAUCUAUUAUGCUUGAAUUGGGCUAAUUCACAACUUAUGCCGAAUUUCUGACUGUAACCAUCCUUUUUCUUUAUUAUUAUGUAAUCUCUUCUGUAUUUUGCGUAAUCUCUUCAAUCUUCAGUACUAGAUUAGUCCUAUAUACGUAAUUAAGUCAUUACUCAUUAGUACCCAUACACUACACUAGAUGGGAAUGUGUUAUAGUAGUCAAUUUAAAUGUAAAACAAAUCUAAAUGUAAUGUUUUACAUUGUUCUGAUUUUUUUGUCUUCUUUCUGUGUAAUUUAGGUCCAAAUCGAGAGCAAAGAGCCCCAUAUCCACCCAAAAGUGCUGCACCUCAAAAGAUCUUGCCUAUUGAUGCUCCAGCCCUGUCUCUGGCCGAGCUGAGUCGGCUAACUGGUAAUUUUGGUGACAAUACAUUGAUAGGAGAAGGCUCUUAUGGCCGAGUCUUCUAUGCAACUUUAAGUUCAGGAGAAGCUGUUGCAGUGAAAAAGCUCGACCCAAAUGUCUCAAAUGAAUCCGACUCUGAUUUCUCUGCUCAGGUGAUUCUUUAAUACUGACAUAAUGGCAUAACAAAAAUGUUUGUAGACUCCCUCAACCGGCUUAACUCUUGGUUUUGAUCGAGUUAAUUCUUUUGCUGAAAUGGGGAUACUAUAUAUAGUUAAUGACUUUAAUAGUUGUUAUCUUUAUUCAACUAAUGCAAUAACUAAAACCAAAAUGAACAAAAGUUGCUGGGCGGCAACAAAUUGCGAGAUCCUUUUUAAAAUCGCCUAUUCGUCUCUUUACAUUUUAUUUUUUAUUUAACCUAGUGUGAACGAUACAGAAGUACUAUUAGAACUACUGAAUCUGGCAAUUGAUGGUAACUUUGAUCCCUUCUAUAUUCCCGUUGUUGAUGCAGCUAUCAAUGGUUUCGAGACUAAAGAACGAGAAUUUUGUUCAGCUGUUGGGUUACUGCUUGGAAGCAAGUAGUAGGAUAUUGGUCUACCAGUUUGCGGCAAAAGGAUCUUUGCAUGAUAUCUUGCAUGGUAUAGUCACUCUAAUUUCCUGCUUAACUUCAUUGAAAUAGCUUUGCAAUGAAGAAAAGAACAUAACAACUGAAUAGUUUCGAGAAAAAACAUAAAGCCAUCUCAAAUUUAGAAAUAUAAAUUGAUUUAUAAUAAGAUUACAUUCAAAUAUGGGUACCAUACAAUUAUAUCCAAAUUAUCCAUAUCUAUCCCGUAUCUACUUUGGAUUAAAUAAAUCUCCCUUUGCAAUUUUAUUCAAAUAUAUAUUUGUAUUUGUCUAAAAAGUAUUUUAUAGUUAAUUUUGUUUGGUUAAACCAUUUUCUAUCGUGCAUUUAAAUACGUGAGAUUAUUUAUUGUCUCGUGUAUCUCACUGGUUGUGGUCUCGUAUUUUGUACUUCUUUGUGGUAAAUCAUAGGGAAAAAGGGUGUAAAAGGUGCUGAACCAGGUCCAGUACUGAGCUGGAUCCAGAGAGUGAGGAUAGCAUACGGUGCGGCAAGAGGCCUUGAAUAUCUACAUGAGAAGGUCCAGCCAUCAGUUAUACACCGAGACAUCAGAUCGAGCAAUGUUCUUCUUUUUGAUGAUUUUGAAUCAAAGAUCGCCGACUUCAGUUUGAACAACCAGUCUCCGGACUCGGCUGCCCGACUCCACUCGACCCGAGUUCUGGGGACUUUCGGCUACCAUGCUCCAGAGUAAGUAAAUCAUGAUGGCAAUUUCACAUUAAAAAGAAAAAACAUUCCAAAUUUUUUAAUGAUCUGUAGAAAGAUUAAGUUACUUGAAUGAUUUGCUAGUCUUUUGAUUGUAUACUCGGUCUGGCUUGUGGAAUGGCUUUUCUACUCCAGAAAUGCAUGAGCUCCGUAAAAAAAGGCAUUAGCUAUGGUGAGAAGCUACAAAUGAGCUCUUGGUUCUCCGUUUUGAAGAUUUUGCUUUUGUCGGAGGUAGAAACUAUUGGGAUGAGUUCAAUAAGAAAGCUAAUAGUGCUUCUUCAAACAAUUCAUCUAAACAACACUUUUACAGAAGCACCAGCUGGCCGUAAAGAACCCUGAACAACUAACUUAAAAUAAAUAAAUAAAAAAUAAAUAAAUAAAUAAAUGCUAUCUAUUGUGAAUAGGAAUUCUAAUGAUUGAAUGUAUAUCAUCUCUUCGGUUCACUAUUAUUGCUUAAACUUACUUCAAAUGCGCUAUAGGUACGCGAUGACCGGGCAACUGACUCAGAAGAGUGAUGUAUAUAGCUUUGGUGUGGUUCUUUUAGAGCUUUUGACAGGGAGAAAGCCAGUAGACCACACCAUGCCGAAAGGGCAACAGAGUUUAGUUACUUGGGUGGGUUCAUCCUCCUCAGUCUCUCAUUAUCAUCAAAGAACAAUUACUCAUAUGUUCUAGCUAACAUUCCUUUAUAUCUAAAUUCUUCUAUGAUUAGGCAACUCCGAGGUUGAGCGAAGACAAAGUUAAGCAAUGCGUCGAUCCGAAGCUAAACAAUGAUUAUCCACCUAAAGCAGUUGCCAAGGUAUAUGACCUUAUCUCUCUCUAGAUUCCAAUUUACAUGUUUAGAUAUAAAUCCGGGCACAAUUAUUUAUUGAGAGAUACACCACUGCAAAACUGAAUUUUCAUACAUGCACUCGAUCAACUUAAUCCCUUUGUCCUUACCGAAAAUUUCUUUUUAAAUGUAAACCAACUUUCCUCAUGAAUCAGAUGAUUCUCGGCUUAAAAAACUAAGAACAAUAUGUAAUAAAAAAUAUAUAUAUACUUUUUUAUGGUAUGUAUGAAAUAUUCAAAUUUUGGAGGCAUGAAAGGUCCAUUCCUAUUGUAUUUAACUCUAUUGUUAAACUUUGAAAUGGCCCAAAGUAUAGCUUUGUCCUUUUAAAGUCUAGAUUUGCUAUAGAUAGAAAUUAGCACCAAAUUUUGGAGAACUUUUGUUUGGUUGAUAACUCGUCAUAAAAAAUUUAGUUGAAAUAAGUUCUGAUCAAUUGUGACGAUGAUUAAACCCUAAAACAUCAAAAUAUUUAUGGGAUUUGAAUUGCUCUUUUUGUUUGUGUUCAGUUGGCAGCAGUUGCAGCAUUAUGUAUCCAAUAUGAAGCCGAUUUCCGACCGAACAUGACGAUUGUCGUCAAGGCGCUCCAACCUCUUGUUAACACGAGAGCAGGACCCGACCAUUAAAUUGUAGAAUCACUUAUUUACUCUCCAAUUAUUGUUGUUUUUUUCACUUAAAUCCUUGUUUAGUUCCUUUUGUUGGUUGAGCUAGUUUUGCAAAAUUGGCGAUGCCGAUUUGUUGUAGCCUUUAAAUUUACUUACAAGGGACAUACCAGAAUAAGCUAGUAUUAUCCAAUACUUGAUCAAGGAACUUUGUGACUAUUACAAUAUUGUUUGUUAUAUGUAUUCUUUUUUUUUCUAAAUAUAUGAGAAUUUGUUCAUUAAUUAUCGGUAUCUUAGUGAUAUCCUCUUUGUUGGAAAUUGAGUACAUUUUACAUAAACCAACACAUGGGAGCUUAAUCACUGGUAAUUAUUGAGUCCAUCUUCUCUUACACACACCAUAUUUGCUUGUUCAUUGUUCAAUUUGUUUGAACAAAAUUACCAUUCAUGAAUAUCCUUUGGCUUUACACAUUUUUAGGAAACAAUUUAAUUUAUGCCUACAAGGAAUUUUUCAAGAUGUUUUUAUCAUUUGCUUGGAAUCACUUACUCAUUUGAUGUUUAAUAGGAAGCCAAAUUGAGUUUAUAGAUUACAAAAGUAGAUAUUCGUAACGCCCUUAUAAUCUCACCCACAUCAGAUGAAAAGGAGGUUAUGAUUUGAAAUAUAAGAGAUCACCACUCUAGUAAUAAUAACUGAGCUUCAGUAUUUUGAGCCAGUGAUUUAGAUUCAAUGAGUUAUUAUUGCUAGUAGGUUGGGUCGUUAUAUUUGAUAUUAAAGCUCCGAAAGUUUGAGAACUAAGUGUUUUGUUUUAGUUCUAUCGUCUAUCUCUAAAAUCUCACAUCGCCUAGUUCUUGUCUAUAAACGUGUGAUCGCGUCAGGUCUAAACGACGGGAGGUUCUAAUUUAAAAUAUAAAAUUAUUAUUGAUAGCUGGUCAAGUUGUUACAAUAUUUUAAUUUAAGAGUUUCAAUUUUAUGGAAACAAAAAAAAAAAAUUAGUUUUUUUAAGCAUCGCUGCUCAAACAACACUAUUAUAGAAGCUCGCACGUUGUUAUCAGUACAGAUUAAAUAUUAUUAGGAAUAUGAAACAAGUGAUGAAUUUUUUCCUUUUUGUUUUGUGUUUACGAAGGAGGCCCCUAACCUUCUAUUUAUUCCAAUUAGAUCCUUAAUCUUUUACCCAAGUUUCAUUUUAAGUUUAUGUUGCAAUUAGGUCCCUAACCUUUCCUAAUCAUUUCAAUGGGGUCCUUUCUGUCAUAAAAUCAUCAUCACAACAAUGUACCAUUAGAUAAAUUUUGAAUGCUAAUUUCUUACAAAUCAAACGGUAAAUUUUUCUCUAGUGUUCAUUUUAGAAUCUACUUAAUGUCCAUGUAAUAAAUAUUUAAAAUACACAUCUACUGGAUUAGAUCCUAAUUUAAUAUAUUGAUAAUCAUAUUUUAGGUGCGGUGUACAAAGCGUACCUAGUGGACAAUAAAAGAAAAGGAAGUACAAGAUUAGAAAUUAUUUUCUAGAUCUAGUCCUCCAGUUCUCUAGAUACUCAAUUGAAACUCCGUUAAAAGUUUAAGGACCUAUUUGCAAUAAGUAGACGGUUAGGGGCUCAACUGAGACUUGAAUAAGAUGUUGAUUAUCAAAAACCCCAAUCUACCGGGUUUUUAAAAUCCAUAUCCAAAUCCGUACCCGACCAAAAUCUGAAACCCGAAGUAAUUAUUUUUCUUUACCAUAUUUCAAAAUAUAUUUUAAAUUUUUAAAUAUAAAUUUAAAUAUAAAAUCAAAUAUUCAUACAUAUUAUGUAAUAUAAAAUCUAUUCGGGAAUUGGGGUCAAAUUCUAAUCAAAUACAGACAAAAUUCAUACCUGAACUUGAAUCUGUCAAAUCAUCAUUUUUUUAGACCCGUGUCUGAAACCAUAUUUAUUUAGAAUCAGGUAAACUCAUUCCGUUCAGAUUUGGAGUGGAUAAAUUUCGGAUAUUUGUACCCACUGACAUCCCUAGACGAAACAACCUAGUUGAAAUUAACCAAAACAGUGCUUCAAUUAAAGAUCAUGAUUUACGAUUAUUAUCUAAAUAACAAAAAGUAUGUUUUUUAACAUAACUUAAUCUAUUUAAAGACAAAAAUUAAUCACUAUUUUAAAAACUCGAAUUAAAAAAUAAAAAAUAGUUAAUUUAUUUAAAAUAUAAAGACACAGUAUAUAUAGACCUAAAUUGGGACUCAGGAUCUGUUUGGUUCAACAUAAAAACCAUGAAAAAUAAUUUUUUAUGGAAAAAAAUUUUACGUUUUGUACUAUCUAGUUUGUAAAAAAUAAUAAUAAUAAAUAAUUUUUCAUCAAUAUUUGUUUAGUUGGAAGAAAAAAAUUCACAUUUGUUCAGUUUGGUGAAAAAGAGUGAAUGGAAAAAAUUUUACAAAGUUUAAGUUUUCGUUUUUUUUUUAGAAAAACAAUAAAAAAAAUGAAAACUUCAAUUUUUCCCCCAAUAUAUAAAAAUAUUUUUUCGUAAAACUAUUUUUAUAUCAAACCAAACAAAUAAAAAAAAAUGUUUUAUAUCAAAAAUAUUUUUUUCAUUUAUGCAGAAUCAAACCAAUAUGCUGAGUACUGCACCAGCAUUAAUAACUAGAAAAGACAUAUAUCCCUGUCUUUUAUGAAAGGCACAUUUUCUAUGGUUAGGGUUGUCAAAUUUGAACUUAUUAUAAGAAAACAACAACCUCAAUUGACCUAUUGUCCUUUAACACUAUAAUAAUUAUAUAGGUAGGGUAAUGUUACACUUAUUCUCCAACUUGGGUGACACUUUAGUCCUCAAUUUUUAAUUUAUUAUAAUUUGUUUUAAAUUUUGUAGAUUAUUACAACCAAAUUUUACAGUAAAUUUAGUUGACUGAAGACUUAGAUGUUGUCGAUAUGGCACGGUCCAAAAUGCUUAAGCCCGAUGAUUAACGUUUAGACCCUAACAUUCUCAUCAGAUCCGAAUUCGAUCAUAGAUAUAUAAACCCGCAUAGCAUUUAGCACGAUUCUAUACGUGGCUCCCACCAAACUCAAGGUGUAGCACUUUAUCCCACAUAAUAUUUGGCUCUCACAUAUUUGACUGGUAAUCAGCUCUGAUUCUAACUGUAACAAUCGGACCAACUUUCAACUAUAAUGAUCCGACCUACUAACAGUAAUAGCUAGUUGUGUCCAAGCCACCAGUCCAAAAUAUGUAGGCCCAGUUAUUAUUACUGGAAUAUGUGAUCUUUUAUAUUUUCAGCAAGAAUUCAUUUCAUAUUUAAUGUGAGACUAUUGAAAUGUUACAAUAAUCUAUUAAACAUAAUGAAUCCACAAUAUUUCUUGCCACGUGGCAAGAAACCCUUUAUUCUUAGGUUAUUAGAUAAUAUCCAUCUCUUAUAUGAAUCCCCAAUAUAAAAUUUACGUUUCUUCUUCACUUCUAAAUGCUUAACCGUUUACCUCUCUAUAUUUAAUUACAUGCAUUAUAUUCCACCAAUUAGUGAGCUUUGUAACUCCAAUCCACUCCUCUCCACCAUUAAUCAGCACUUCUAAAUGCUAUGCUAAACCCUUCACCUCUCCACAUUUAAUUACAUGCAUCAUAUUCUAUCAAUUAGUAAGCUUUGUAACUCCAAUCCACUCCCCUCCACUAUUAAUCUCCACUUCUGAAUGCUCAAUCUUUCACCUCUCCACAUUUAAUUACAUGCAUUAUACUUCACCAAUUAGUGAGCUUUGUAACUCCAAUCCACUCCCCUCCACCAUUAAUCCCCUCACCCCCUCUUUCUUGCAUGACAUGUUAUUUUUCAUGCAAAAAUGAACAUUAUCAUCUAAUCUCUCACCCCACACUUAUCUCCUUCUCUCUAUCUCAUUAUGUUAACAAAGAUUAUGAGGAUGAUGAAGAAGAAGAGCAUGCGAAGAAUGUUGUCUCCUUCAAAAAAUAUCGUCCUGUAAAGUCCAGCCGCGCCCCAUAUAAGUGCUCGCUGGGCCAGUCUGCACUGGAGCCGUCGCUCGCCGUGAACCGCCGCCGCCUCGGCUGCCUCCUCGCACGGCUCCCGCGUGCCGGCAACUAGGCCGAGGGGAGCGCCGUCCUAGCCUCCUCUUCGCGGGGACGUUGCGCGGGAGCUUGCUUCUCAAGAAUUGCAGGAACUUUUUGGUAAAUCAAAUUGUUUAAGAAUUAGGGUUUCUGUGGUUGAUGUGAUGGCAAGACUGUGUCGGUUUAGAUAUCGCAGUUUGGUGAUGCAGAUGAGGUGUUUGUUCAUAGAUUACAAUGAAAAUCCAGAAAUGAUUCGGCGCAGGGAGCAACUACCAGCUGAAGAUUAAAAAGAUGUAUGAGAUUUGGAUGAGUAAGAGAAGUGCUCCAAAAAAAUAUUAGUUUUUUUAAGAUUGAUGUUUUUUGUUUUAUUUUCAUAUUAUGAUCAUUUUUUUGAGUAGACAUUGUUGUGGGCAAAAUUUUUUUCGUAGAUUAAAAAGUAUGAUGCGGAGAUUUGGAGCCUGAGACGCCAACCAAAAUUUUCUUAAGCCAGAUACGUUAAGUUAUUAUUUAUGUAUUUCAUAUGCUUCUAACUAUUAUUUUAUUUUUUUAACAACUGAAUUUAGUCAUGCAAAUUGACUGUGCUUAAACAUAAUAUAGCUUCCUAUAAGCUGUAAAUAUAAAUUUUAUUAAAUUAUUAAAAAUUUAUUUCUAUUAUCUAUCCGCUGCAUCGCGCGGGUCUCUACACUAGUAAUGGCUAAUAGCAUAUCAUACCGCUAUUUUUUCAGCGACAUAUUAUUAUUCAACCAACUAAAUCGACUUAUAUAAUUUGAUUAUAACAAUUUUAAAAAAAAAUUGAAUCAUAAAUUGUAAUAAACUAAAAUUUGAGAACCAACGUGCGGUGGAAGUUAAAAUUAUUACCAAGCAAUUCACUAGUACAAAGUAAUGGGCCCACAUUUACAUGUCCUAUAUAUAUUAUUAAGUUUUGGCCUAUAUAUCUCAAGUAGAUCAACACAAGACAGAUCUGUACUUGUUCUAGUAAUGAUGCAUGCUCCUGAAAAUUUUGUAUCUAUCUUCCUAAUAAUUGAUCUCAUAUAUAAUGUAGCAGGUAUCUCUACCAUUCAGUUUAAAAUUUUAUUUGAUUUGAUAUAGUUAUAAAUACAGUACAAUUAAAGAUAUUUCCAAUUCGAGAUAUUGUAACGAUGUUUCCAUCUCAUCCAUUUGACCGCUUGUUAUUUUGCGUAAUACAGCUAUAAAUACUUUUGUUUUUCACCAACUCAUCCGUCUCCAACUUCCUUCAAUUUGGGCGUAGUUUGAGAUACAAUUGGGUCUCCAAUUGCAGGUCCAACUAUAGCACGUACAUAUUAUUGGGUAUCCGGUACUCGCCCCGGUAUCGGAUCUUGAGAAUCCGCAAUCCGUUUCGAUACCGACUCCUGUGGAUCUGGUACCGAUUGUUGGGAUUUCACAACGGAAGCGUCAAAUCGAAUUUUUACCACAAACCGUCUUCUCAGCAAAAGCUGAUACAAUCACAAAAGAGAGAAAAAUCAAAACAGAGAAUAUAUGGGUAAAAUAAGAUUUAUUAAAUAAGAGAAGAAAUAAAAUUACACCUGACUCCUCUUCUGCAACUAAGUAGCUACAACCCGAGCCCUCUUUUUGAAUCUUUUCUAUCAUUCUCUCGUCUUUUAUAAACCUAGAAGACAACUCUCUUUCUCUCUCACAUGCACCCGUGCACUAGGUGCAUACAACCGGCCAACUCUCUCUCUAGUGCAACCCACCAAAUAGCUUCAACUUUUUAGUUGUUCUCCCCCUCACAACUUUUUGGCUUAAUAAGUUUAAGCCCUUAAUGCUACAUAUAUAGCGCCCACGAAAACGUACCCAACUCCUAAUAUAAUUAGGAUUCCGAUUCCAAUAAAUAUUUAAAUCUUAAUUGAUUUAUCUCUAAUAGAUUUAAAUAUUUAUUCCAAACUAGUUAGAUUCAUACUCUAAUUAAUAUUUAAAUCUUAAUUUAUCUCUAACAGAUUUAAAUACAAAUUCCAAUCCAACUAGAAUUAAUCUACAAAUCGAACCAAAUUCUAACACAUAUAACUACAGUUAACUGAACAAAAUAUUUAUGUUCAUAUGGAAUUACACUUGCAAUAUAAUUAGAAAUAUAUGUAAUCAAACAGUUCCUAAGUUUUUUAGACUACAUUUACUUCACGCUAUUGGCUACAGUGCACUAAAAUACUCUUUCCAAGUUUGACAUUUAUCGAUCAAUUUGGUUUAAAACGAUGUGUAAUAUUCACCUCUACAAACAAGGAUACAAUAAAAAUACUUCAAAAUUUUGUUUGUCAAACACACGACUAUAUAUCAUACGUAGAAAUCGAAAUAACACUUGUUCUUGGUGGAUCAUCAGAUUUUUACUUAUUAUGAGAACAAAUUCAACUUGGCUACCUCUCCUUUCACUAUUCUAAAUCCCUUCAAGAGUAGGCAAUCACCGAAUGAAAACUUUCAAUGAGUUUAUUGGGAUUGGCUUCGUAUUAAUGAUGAUUUUUUGAUGGAAUCAAAAAGACAUGCGCAUUUUGGUAAGAUCAAUCAUAAAACAAAUCUUAGAGACUUUUUGAUCCGAUAUAAUAUGGGCUUCAUUUGGGAUUAUUCGGAGAUUGCGUUACGUGUGGUGAGAAAGUAAGUUAGAAAAAUAUUCUGUUUAUUUCUGUACGUUCUGCGGUCCCACCAGAGAACGCAGAAGCAUAUCUCUAUAUGCUUUUUCCUUAAUUUCAUUUUAUCUAAUAACGUUAGAUAGGACUCAAUACCAAACUAAGCCAUAGUAUAGUUAAAGCUACAAAUAUUUUGCUUGAUUUACUAUAAUAGAAAAUGCUAAAACUUUAAAUAAUUUGUUUAAUUGUAUAUAGUUGGGAAAUACAUUUGUAUGUUUUAACACUUUAUAUAUGAAAUAGUGAGAUUACCAUUUACCAUUCAUUUUAAUGAAAAAAUAAUAUCUUUUCAACGACUAAGAUCUAGUUAAUAGUCUGACCAUUAAUUAAUUGAGAACAUAAAGUUCAGGGACCUAUUUCAAAAAGGCAUAUAGUCUAGGGGUUCUCCAUACAUUUUUUCCCCAAAAUAUUUAAAAAAAACACACAAAGAAAUUUAAGCUUGAAUCCAAAAUAGUAUUUUGGACUAGGCCAAAGUGGGUCCCAAUUUUGAAUGUUGCUAAGCAAUUAAAUAAUUUGAGUCCAAAAGGAGAAAAUCUCUCUUAUGCAUUUAACUGUUUCUGCUUUUUUCCAUUACAUUCCAUCUUAUAAUAUUUUGUUUUUGUCCUUGCAUUGAAGGGCUUAUAUAAAUGUUGUCCUCAUUUGAUAUUAAAAUGUUUGGGCACUUCUAUAAGUAUCCGCUUUACACUUUCGUAUUUUUCUACUUCUAAGAAACUUCUAUUUUAAUAUUGUAAUACGUAUUCUAAAGUGAGAGUGGUAUAUAUAUAUAUAUAUAUAUAUAUAUAUAUAUAUAUAUAUAUAUAUAUAUGCUUCUGGAAGUACGGAACUCUUCGUGCUUCUAAGUUAUUUUCAAUGUUAGGACUUUCAAAUCGACGAUCGUCUUCGUUAGACUUGAUCUAGAGUAUUUGAAAUAUUUAGAAAAUAAAUUUUGUAAUUUUUCGAUAUCAUUUGCCUAGUGAUCGAGGGGGCUUAAAAUCAAUCAUUUUAAUGGCCGUGAUGAGUCGUUUGCCGGUUUAAUAGUGUAGAAAUAUUCAAAUCACGUGAAAUUUUGAUAAACAAUUUUUUAUACUAAAUAAAACAAUAUCAAUAUAUUUGAUCUAAAAUUUUAAUAUCAUAUCACCAUAUUUUGUAAGAUUUUUAUUUUCAGCCAUUGAUUUUGAGCCCUUUCGAUCACUAGGCAAAUUAUAUCGAAAAAUCACGAAAUUUGUUUUCUAGAUAUUUCAAAUACUCUAGAUCAACUCUAAUGGAGUUGAUUAUCGAUUCGAAAGUCUCAAUAUCAAAAACAACUUAAAAAGCACGAAGAACUCCGUGCUUCCAGAAGCAUACCAGCCUCACUCCUUAUUCUAUGCAUAAAUUGUAUUGUACGGUAAAGUAAUUUACUGUAAUAAUCAUUACUCUUAGAACCGGUAAAAAUGCAUAAAAAAAAUUUUGUUUUCCUCAAAUUAGAAAACUAAAUGAAAGAUGUUUCCCACUAUUUACUAAUUAACUUUCUUUUUCCCUCAUUUUUAAGAAUAAAAUGAGAAUGUUAAUAGCUAUGUAGCUGUACAAUACAUACUAUAUAUGCAUAACGGUGCAAAAUUGCACUUUUUAAACUUUGAUGGGUUAAAAUAUAUGUUUUAGAAGAUAGGGGGUAAUACACAAAAGAUUAAUAUUUAUGAGGGUGUUUUCUGCAUUUUAGAGCUCGUAACAUGUACACUAACAAUCCAAACUCAAAAGCUAAAUUAAGUAGAGAAAUGCUUGUACAAUAUAUCCGGAUCAAAAUUCUUAUUGGAUUCUUUCGGCUAAUAUGAAUAUAAUAUUCCUUACUUCGCAUUCUGGCAUGAAUUAGGUGAUACAAAUUCAAUAUGCAUAGGCAGAAGAGACCAGGUUGAGCUGAGUUACGUUCAAAAUGGUAGGAGGUCAGUGUGGACUAAAUCAUAUUCAAAGUGGCGUGAGACUGAUUGGGUCACAAUUGAAACCCGUAAGCGCUAUAUUUAUACGCUUUAUAUAAAUUUAAUGCAUAUUUCUAAAAGCCCGAGUUUUUUAGAUUAAUAAUUAACGUCAACAAUCCAUCACUAUUUGCAUGUGACAAUAAAUUGCUAAUUUAUAUACUAUUAGUAUAGACACAUGAACAAAGUCAUGUAUUAGGUAUUAUUAGCAAAUUAAUUUUAUGAAAUCAAAUUAAUAUCCACUUGCGACGCACCACUAACACCAUAUUGAAUGCUUCUUUAUUUGAAUGCAUAAAAGGACAACAUACAAGUGCCAAAUAAUUGCAUUAAGAUAUCAAAUUUCAUCCACAAGAUUUGGGUUGAAUGGAAUUGGAUUUAGAAAUUUUCUCUUAUCCUCCAAAUCGAUAUGUUAGAGGGUGUUAGAUUAACCAUGUCAUAUACACAGAAAAAGUUAUUAAUAAAUAAUAAAAAAAAUUAUGUUAAAAUGAAAUAGACUUAGAAUUAGCUGCGAUACUAUGUUAUCCAAUAAAAAGGGGAUAAUCUUAACAAUCUCGUCAUAUCCAAUUUGACUCACCAAAGUAAACAGCCUAUAUUUGAGGGGGGUCUCCAUAAAUUUUUUUUAUUAUUUAUUAAUAACUUUUNAAAAUGAAAAGAAAAAAAAAAAAAAAAAUCUAAACUUGAGUCCAAAAUAGUGUUUUGGACAAGAGCAAAGUGGUCCCAAUUUUUUAUUGUUAUUUAGCAAUUAAGUAGUUGAGUUCAAAAGGAGAAAAUUUAUAUGAUGCAUUUGACUGUUUCUUCUUCAAUCUCUUUGCAGCUUAUAAUAAUUUUGUUUUUGUGCGAGUGUGUACUGUACUCACAUUAGAUUGGGACUUUUGAUUGUACCAUAGUUUAUGCACUAAAAAUCCAAUUUUAAUAUAUAGAACUUAUUAUAGGAAAAAGUGUCUAACAUCGUAAACCAAGGAAUAAAGUAGGCUUCGUCUGUGACACCUUGCUUUUUAUAGAGGUCAUUCAUUUUAGCGCGACUCUAAUCAUAAUAUAUUUAAUUCUCUUAAACUUUUAAAUCUACUUAUCAGCCAAAAUAUUAUAGCCGCACUAAGAGAUUUAAUCUUACUGUAUAUCUUAUAUAUAAGAUUAUUUCAAAUUCUGUGGGUAUCACAUUCCUACUCCCUUUAAGUUCUGACAUUUUCGGCAGACUUAAGCAAUCUCACAAGUAUCAGGUGAUAUGAGAGUCAUCUUGCUAGCCUAGUUAUUCAGUCCGUCUGUUAUUCCUAAAUUCUGACUUAGCCUGUCAUUCAGAUCAUGACUCAGCCAAACCCAUCUCACUCUAGCUGGCUGAUAAUUGACUCUGAUAUCAUUGGUAACACACCUUGCUUUACAGAGGAAUCACCUGUCCUAGCACUAUUUUAGCCCAAAUAUGUUUAACCCUCGUAAUUUUUUGGGACUAACUACUGUCCGAAGUACUACAACCGGGUUAAAAAUUUAGCCCAAUUAUAUAUCUUACAUAUAUGACUAUUUUAAAUCCUGCAAGUGCCACGGUCCUACUUGGAUUCUUUGUGAGAUAUUUAUGAAAAAAAUUAUAGAAGUUAUUAGCUAGUCUUGUUAAAAACUGAGUUAUGAAGUGUAAAAUUACUUAAAUUCUAUUUCGUCCAAAUAUAUAUUGGAGUCUACAGUUUCAUAUUGUUACGACAAACGCACAAACGGAAACGAAAAUGACGAACACGAAAUAAUCAAACCACAAAUAGAAAUAAAAGAGAGUACACAAAUUUACGUGAAAAAUUCUUUGCAGAAAAAAAUUACUGGCGAGGGAGGAGAAAGCUUCACUAUCGAAAAAAAGAAUACUAGGUUCGAGUACAACCCACACGAUAUGUUGCCUCUAGGGCAAAAACGAGAAAGAAAAAUUCUUAAUGGGUUUCGGAUCUGAUCCCUCCGCUACCCACCACAAACAUUCAUUUUUUUUCGAUAACUUAUUUUUCAAAUCGAUCGCACCGCAAAACUAUCGGCGAGUCGAAGUUCGAUCCGAACUGAAGUCGAUUAUCAAUUUCGAGUCACAUCUAAUACAUAUAUUAAGAGCAUAAGUAUUGUGACAUUAUGUUGCUCUCACAAGUUGAGUUUCACUGCUUUCACAACUCCUCCGGAUUAUUUUAUAUAGCUCCUAGUUAUUUUUUCAUUCAAAUUAGCACAUGGUAUAAAACCAAAUCGAGUUCCACACAUUAGAUACCACUAAGGGACCAUUUGGUUAAAUAUAAUUAUAAAUGCAGUGUAGUUAAAAAUGCAUGCAAUUAAAAAUAUAGCAGUUAUAACUAUAUGAAUCAUAUUUAGUCGGAUGUAGUAGAAAGUGCUGCAAGUAUAAAUAAUUUGUUUGGUUGCAUACAGUUGAAAAAUAAUUUUUAAAAUUUUAUUAUUUCAUAUAUAUAUAUAUAUGAUGGUGAGAUUACCUCCAAUGUAAAAAAGAAAAAAAAAAAAAUUUUGAGAGAUAGGUAGCACGCUACCAGCUUCGUUUAUUUUAUUUAGAAAUAAACUUAGCAAGAAAUAUGAAUCAACUAGGAUUCAAACUUGAGCCUCGGGUACCAACCACCGAGCCCUUUGCCACUUGCUCUGGCGACGGUUGGUAAAGGAAAAUAAUUUUUGUUUAAAAAAUAUUGAGGAGGUAAGCAUACCUCUUAUUUAAAAUUAUUCUCUCCAACUGCUGUAGUUGGAACUGCGGCCAAUUUAGGCAUAGUUCGAACUGCUAUAGUUGGGCAUCCUCCUGCAGUUCCUACUGCAGCAGUUGGAGUUAAAUAUAUCAAACCAAACACGAAAUUUAUAUUUAUAUGCAGUUACAAUUACAGUACAGUUACAACUACAUGCAACCAAACGGCCUCUAAAAGUCGUGGAUCCUGGCUCUGAUCAAGAAAGUUUUGUGCAAACCCGAAAGCGCCCUCCUAACAGAUAUAGAACUACUUGAUAUGGUAUAUUUUAUCCCUAUCUCAUCUAUUUUAAAUUUAAAUAGAAUCCUAAUCAGACUUUGAUGGGAAGUCGAUCUGGACUCUAUAUAAAGAGGUAUUGAUCCUGCCACCUUCUCAUAAGCAUUCUGGUGAAGAAUUACCAUCAGUUCCACACCAUACGACAGAGUGCCUGAGAUAGGGGAAGAAACCAAAUCACCCAAGUUCGAUUCGUGACUUUCAGAUCGUAGCCGGACUUCCAGCUUCCGCAAGAUUACUCAAGAAUCUCUUCUCUAUGGCGCUCUGUGAGUUAUCGUAUUUUUAUUUUUGAUCCUGGAUUUGGUAUGUAUUUAUUUUUAUUUAUUUUACAUAUCUUGAGAUUCCAUUAAUUGGAACCAACUAAAAAGCUUACAUUAAUAGAUGAAAAAUUCUUGCACAUUAAGCAUGUGAUUAAGAUGACUCUUCUUUUCCUCCUCCUUUGUUUAACCUCUUGUGGUCUCUUCUCGUUUCUUCUUCUUUCAUUCCUUCUCCUUUUUCUUGCUUGUUAGGAAACACUUAGAAUUAUAGAUAUCCUCAGAAGUGGAGUUUGAAAGAUCGAGAGGCCCGUUGCGAUCGCGUCGGUGCAGCUCAUAGUCAGGAGUAAGAUAGAUCGUAAGCAAGAUCUGGAUAAUUAUUUCUUUUUUAAUUAAGUUCUUUUUUAUAAUAAAGUUUUAAAAACUAUAUAAUUAAUGAACCCUCCAAUAAUAAAAUUAUAAAAUUAUAAAAAAAAAAAUGGGUGGUUUGUGGGGUCCCACGCUUGAUUUCUCCACUUUUUUAUCUUCCUUUGAUUGAAAGAAUCAUGAAAAAGUACAAAUGUCACUUGAUAUAUUUAUCAAUUAUCACUGUUACAGCUACAAGUUCGUGUGAUUUCGUACUUUCUCACCCUAUGUGAUUUCGUAUUUUUUUAUUGUAGUACCCCGUAAUUUAAAGUGUAUCAAAUUAAUAUUAUGUGGUUUCGUAUUUUCUUAUUUUAGCACUAUGUGGUUUAAAGUAUAUCAAGUUAGUGAUUUCGCACUUUCUCACUUUAGUACCCUAUAGUUUAAUAUUUCGUUAAAUUAUAUAUAAAAAACUUCAGAUACCCCAUCUAGAUUUAUCGAAUAUUCAUUUUAAUACCCUUUAGUUUUAACUUUGUCACUAAUUUAACAAAAAAAAAUACUCCAAAAUAGAUAAUAAAAAAAGAAAAAUGAAAUCACAGGGUAGUAACUUAAUACAAAAAUAAAACUACAGAAUACAAACUUGAUACACUUUAAACUAUAGGGUACUAAAGUGAGAAAGUGCGAAACCGCAAGGUAUUAACUUGAUACGCUUUAAACCACAGGAUACUAAAGUAAAAAAGUAUGAAAUCAUAGGGGGGUAUUUGAAGUUUUCCUUUAUUUAUUUAUUACAAAGGCAGCUAUAUGCCUCGCAUAUUCUUACCAAACACAAGCGUUUUCGUGUCGAACUCAUGUUCAAUGCAAACACGCUAUAAAUGCACAUUUAUAGUGUAUCUAAUUAAAAAUAUAUAUUUUUAUUUAUUUAUUUUUAUGUAUAUAUCAUGUAAUAUGACAAAUAUUUUAAUUUUUGGUUAAUGCAUGUAAAUUUUUAUUUUGACGAUAUAAGUAAAUUAUGUGUGGUGAAAUUUUUUUAAAAUAUAUGAACUAUCAAUAAAAUUUUUAUCAUCUCUUAUUCCUAUAGAAAAUAGCUUAAGCCGUAGGAGUCUGACAUGACUCGAACUCAAAACCUUCUGCUCUGAUAUUAUAUGAAACAAUCGUUGUACUCUAAAAACUUAAGCUAUUAGAGAACGAUGUUUAAAUAAUUUUACAUUCAACACUCCCCCUUGGGGGGGGGGGGGGCUCAAGACUUUUUUAGUCAGCCCAUGACGUGGGCUUGAAUUAAAUAGGAGAAAUUAAUAUGCUAGGAGCCUGGCGUGACUCGAACUCAUGACCUCCUGCUCUGAUACUAUAUGAAACAACCGUUGUACUCUAAAAGCUUGGGCUUGAAUUAAAUGGGAGAAAUUAAUAUUGAUGUCCACUCCAUUCGUGUUCUGAAUUUUUUUUGAAACCAUCCGGUUACCGUGUUCAAGUCAUGUUGUGUCUCCUGUUCCAUAUUCAUGUACACCCACAUUUUGUUUUUCCUCGAAAGGUGAGCCUUAUGUUUUGAUACUCAAUUUUAAUUAAGAAUAUAAUUUGUUAGAGACCUACACAAAUAUAUUAUUUGUUAGACAAAUAAAUAAAAUAUUUUUCUACCAUAUUUUUUUACCACACAUAACGCAUAUUCUCUAUGUCGAUUGAUAAUUAAUUUGACAAUUAGUUUUUUGUUUUACCAUUCACAAUUGGUAUCUCAAAGUUUCAUUUUUUUUUUCUUGUUUAUAAGAUUUGGUCAUCCAUAAUUUGAUAAAAUAGUAUGGUAUUUUAUACAUUUGAUCACAAUUCUCAUCUAUCAAAUACUAUAUAUUUUUUACGUAAAAUAAAAAAAAAAUAUGUCAAAUAAAAUAUUUAUAUAUCUAUUUCUUGGGAAAAAUGUACAAAGACCUAGUUGACCUUCAGCUAUUUUGCAAUUAGCCACCUAAACUUUCAAUUUUAGCAAUUCCAGUGCCUAAACUCUAUCAAAUAGUUUAGCAUACCCCUAUUUUCAAUUGAAAUUACUAAUUAUACAACUGUUUUGAUUAUAUAUUUUGGAGAUAAACUUGUAAAGCAUCAAAAUCUGAAGAAACUUAUUUUUCUUCCCUUCUAAUGUUGAUAAUUAAGCAUAAGAAUUAAUAAUUAAGCAUAAGAAUUAACGAAUAAGACGAACCAAUAGUUAAUAGAAAAAAAAUAAAAUUUUAAAUAUUUGUAAGAUUAUAUACAACACAUACAACCAAAAUGAUCGUAUAAUUAGUGAUCCUAAUUUAAAUAAGUGAUCUAUUGAACUAUUUUAUAAAGUUUAGCGGUCUAAUUGUCAAAAUUAAAAUAUCAAGGGGUCUCUGCAAAAGAGAAAAAGGUCAAGGGGUCUCUGUACAUUUUUCCUUUUUUUCAACAUUUUUAAUAUAAUAAAAUUACCGUACGAAGCCGCUGUAACGGGCGGGAAAUUUGCGCCGCACCAAACAUCCGCCCAUUUCGCGACCGAACCGGUCCCACCAAACCCGGCCCGGCCCGCUUCGAGACCGAACCGAGUCCCGAACCCGACCGGUGACCGGCCCAACUGGGCCGGUUCAUGAUAUUCUCACCCCAAAUUUCUUUUUCUUAUUCCUCCCACUUUUUAAUAGAUUUAAAAAUAUAUAUAUAUAACUUAUCUAAAUUAUACACUAUUUUAAAUCAGCUAUUCAAUAUUUCAAGAUUUCUAUUUUGCUAUCCAUCUUUCCAGUUGAUUAAUUUGAUUCUGUUAAUGACACUUUUAUUUUAAAAUUUAAAUGUAUCGUUUAUCUUUACAAAUUUAGCUAUUAUAUUAAUUUCAUGCAAUUCUCGCAUUAUAAAUUUUUUAAAAAUAAAUAAUUAAUUUAAAUUUUAAAGUCAAAAAUGCCAUUUACAGACUCAAAUCAAUAAAUUAAAAAGGUGGUCAGUAAAAUUAAAAGUUUAAAAGAUUGAAUAGCUGAUUUGAAAUGGUUCAUAUUUACGAGAAAUUAUGUACAUUUUCAUACUUUUAGUAAGGAAAGGAACAAUGUAAUGAAAACCCCUUAACUAUGCAACUUUAAAUUGCCCCAAAACUUUUGCACUGAGAUUCCUGAACUUUCCAUUCCUUUUUUGGUAUUAAAUGAUACUUUUUAAUAACUUCUUUAUUAAAUGUAUUGAUAAUUUUGUCCAUGUAAAUACUUUUAAUAUAUUUUUUAGCAAAAAAAGGUAAUUUUAACUUAAUUAAUUAAGUUAAAAUUAUGCACAUUAUUUACCAAUACUUUUAACAUAAUUAAGUAUUACAACUCAAAUAAAAAAAUAAAUAAAACAUAAGAAUGUGUCGAUCCAAAAAAAAAAAGGAUAAUUUCAUACACAUACGUACAAAGUUUUAAAAAUACGAGUUUAUUCCUGUAAAACUGUUCAAAUAUAUUCUUCUAAAACUCUAUAAAACUUUUACCAUUUGGACAAUUAUGCGCGUGUUAAAAAAUAAUUUUUACAAAAAAAAUUUUAGGAUUUAUAAUUUAAGGUUCAAGUAGAACAUGAUAUCUCUUUAGAGAUAUAUUUUGAAAACUAAUAUUUUGUAGGAUAUAUACUAAUAAUUUCAUUCCUUUGUAGGAAUACAAAUCCAAAAAAAUAAUAAUAAAGUCGAGGGGCUAAUUUCAAACGCAAUGCAGUUUGCGGGGUACCUAUGCAAUUUACGUACAAACUAGAAAAGAAGGUUAUCCACUUUUUUCUUAAAUCAUUAAUGAAUAAUAUUAUAAGAGAAUAUUCAAGGGUAGGUAUUAAAAAUAUUCUAGUUAUUUUUCAAAGAUCUAAAGUUUAGUUUACUUACAUACAUUUUUUAUCUUAUCCUUAAAAAAAGUAGAAAAUAAAAGCUGAGGGGCUUGUUUCAAAUAUGUCUAAGGUUAAGGGGGUCCGUACAAUUUUACCCAUAAAAGAGACAUAUUUUUUUCUAAAAAAAAAAGGAUUCUGUCACCAACAAGUGGCAAGAUUUUCAGGAAGGAGACAGGGACCUUAUUUAAUAAUAAUUAUUAAUUUUUUAAUCACAAUUUAAGGAAAGUUACUUAAAAAAAAAUAGUUAUAGUUGAAAUGAUCCAAGUGCAAUUAUUGCAUUUCAUUUAAUUAAUGUAUUAAUUACCAAAUUGGAGUACUCCACAAUUCAUUAUUAAUAAUAAUACACAAGAAGACAACCUACUAAGAUUUUUUUUUUUAAUAUCAAGGUAAAUUGUAUGAAGUCCCUCAACAAGAAGAUAUUUUGAAAUGGCCUCCUCAAAAUAUUUUUUUUGAAAUAUUUCACCAUUAGGAAAUAAGUAAUUUGUAAGAAUGAUCAAAAAGAGAUGUCUAUUAAACUAUUUAAUAAAGUUUAAAAAAUAUAAUUAUUAAAAUAUAAAGUUCAGGGGGAGGUUUGGACAUUUUACCCUUAACUUCUUAUUAUAACCUCAAUAAAUUUUAAUUAUUUUAAUUAUUGCAAAAAUAUAUCAUUAUAACAUAAUUUUAUUGGUUUUUAUAAAAAUAUUAUUAAUUACGUUUUUGUAAGAAAAUGCUACUUUUUAAGAUAUUUCAGAUUAAAUCUGAAUUUUUAGUAAAUUAACUAAAGUAUUCUUAUUCCACUUUCUCUCUCAUUUUCUCUCUCAUUCAUUUUUCUUCGCCCUCUUGUCUCUCUUCUUCUCGCUAUACCUUUCUCUCUUUCUUCUCUCGCUUUCUCUCCCUUCCUUAUACUCCUCCACCACCCCACGUAGAUGCCACACUACUCUCUUCUACUUCGCCCACACCUCCACCAACGCCGGCUGUAACAACGCAAGCUCGUAUAUGAAAUAGAUCGCAGAGGUGAGGCUACAGUGAGGGGAGCCGACGUGGAUGAUAAUGACAACGAGGGUGUCAUGGAUUUUGAGAACGAGGGAGAGGGAAAGCAUAUGAGUGCAGGGGCGGCUGCCAAGAUAGAGGGUGAGAAAAAGGGUGUGGUAGCGAAAAAUAAUGUAGAAGGUAGAAGAGAAAGACGAAAAAACAAGAAAAAAAAAAAGUAAAAAAAUAAAAAUAUAUAUUUUUCUUCUUCUAGGAAGGUCACCACGUGCCACUACCGCUAAAAAAAGGCCAACAAGCAGAGAAGAAAGAAGAAAAAGAAGUAAAAAUUACACUGUUUAAAAUAAAAUUGCACUGCUUGUGGCCAAGUUGUACUAUUUGAGACUUAAGUUGCAUUAUUUAAAACUAUUUGAGACUGAGUUGCAACUUUUCAAGCAGUGCAACUUAAGUCUUAAAUAGUGCAAUUUUUAAUUAUUUUUGUAGUGCAAUUUAAUCUCAAAUGGUUUUAAAUUGUGCAAUUUAUCCUCAGAAAUGCAACUUAAUCUCAAAUAAUAUAAUUUCGUCUAAGACAGUGGAACUUCUCCUUCUCCCUUUUCUUUACUUUUUGACCUUUUCUGUAGCGGCCACUGCACAUUAUGACCUCUGAGGAGAAAAAAAUGUGUUGUUUUUUCUUUUUCAUCUUCUUUUUUCUUCUCUUUUUCUCAUCCUUUGCAUUCUUUUUUGCUACAGUGCCCCCUCCCACGUCUUGUGCCGCAGCCGCAGUCCCUAUCCCCGCCCCAACACCCUCUUCCUCCCCAUCAUCCUCAAAUCCUACAGCAACCUCGUUGCCGUCGCCAUCGCCAUCACCAUCAAUGGCCGCAUUUUUCGCCACAACCUCACCCCCAUGAUCUGUAGCAAAUUCGAGCCCGCAUCUUAUCAUCAGCGUUGGCGGAGGUGCGGGUGAGAUAGAAGAGAGGAGCAGGCGUCUAUGUCGAGGCAAUGGAGGAGGAAGAGAAAAGAAAUGAUGCAAGAGAAGAAAAAGAGGCAAGAACAACGAGAAUGAGGGAGAGGGCAGAGAAAAAUGAACGAGGAAAAAAAAAGAAGAAUAAGUGUAUUUUGAUCAGUUUACAAAACAUUUAAACUUAAUAAGCAAAAUUUAAAAAGUAGUCUAUNAUAUAUAUAUAUAUAUAUAUAUAUAUAUAUAUAUAUAUAUAUAUAUACAUAUACAUAUAUAUGUAAAGUAGGACUACUAUACUCUUAUGAGUAUAGCCCCCUUUGUACUCAUAAGUUUUCAGCCGUUAGAUGAAUGAAUGUGCGGUUAGGAUGGCAGUGGUUCCCGGUUAAGAUGAUAGUAGUCCCCUAAGGUUGAGUGAAUUGUUGGUUAAAUAGUUUGAUCUAACAGGUGAAAAUGGUCAAAGGGGUAGAUCUAAUGGUAAAAAAUUUAUGAGUACAAAGAGGUCUAUAUUCAUAAAAGUAUAGUAGCCGGAUUCAUAUAUAUAUCAUAUAGAGAGAAAUAGAAAGUCCUUAUACUCUUAUAAGUACGAUCGACUUUGUACUCAUAAGUCUUUUCAAUGAUAGAGCUUUUGAACCAACGAUCCAUACCGUUAAAUAUAAUUUAGAGCAUUUGAAACUUCUAGAAAACAAAUUUCAUAUUUUUUUUAUAUCAUUACCGAAUAAUCAAAAGAUUUCAAAAUUGAUAAUUUUUAAUAACAGGUAUGGGACGCUCGCUAGUUUAACAGUAUGAAAUAAUCGAAAUGGAUUGAAGUUUUGACAGAAAAUUCUAUUCACUACGUAGGUAGAGAUCUAUAAAUCCGAUCUUAAAUUGAAGAAUAUGAUUCUCUAUUUUUAAGAAAUCGUUCAAUUUUGAUCGGGCAUUUUAUGACCGCUUGAUGGAUUUUAUUAUAAUUUCGAAAAAUUACGAAAUUCAUUUUUAAAAUGAUCUAGACCAUUUAAGCGAUCUGAAAAUCAAAUUUGAUACUUUUUUAAUAUUAUUCUCUUGUCCAUCAAGUGAACAUAAAAUAGAUGGUUAAAAAUAAAUAUCCUUCAAAAAGUAAUGAUACAACUUUUAUAUUCAAGAUUUAGAUCUUGAUUUAAAUUAUUUAAAGAAUUUUCUAAUAAAAAUCUAGUUAAUUUGGACUCUUGUAUAUCGUUAAACGAGCAAACGCACUGUACCGACUAUUAAAAUUAUACAUUUUGUAACCCAUUGAUCGUUUGAUUAGUGAUAUCAGAAAAGCAUAUGGGGCCUAUUUCAAAAUCUCUAUAGUUGCAGGGGCAUCCAUAAAAUUUUACCUUAAAUAGGAUGUUAUCACCAACAACCGGCCUGAUUUAUAGGAAAGUGAAAGGGACCUUAUUUUAAUAAUUAGUUUCUUAAUCACCCUUUAAGGAAGGUUACUUAAAAAGGUAGUUACAUUUGAAACCAUCUAAAUAAAAUUAUUGAAUUUGAUUUAAUUGUCGUAUUAAUUACCAAAUUGGAGUACUCCACCAUUCAAUGUUAAAAUAAUACGCAAGGCGACAACAUUCUAAGUAGUGAUGCAAAUGAAAAAAAAUUAAUCCAUUCCGAAUCCACCAAUUAAGAAAGAAAAACUUCAAAUAUCAUUUCUGUGGUUUCAUUCAUUCUCACUUUAGUACCCUAUAACUUAAAAUGUAUCAUUUUAAUACUAUAUAAUUUUAUUUUUUUCUUCCCACUUCGGUCGAGUGUUUGUGCCUGCUCUUACCUACCGUAGGACCUCCGUCCGCGAAGCGAAGAAAGAGGAGUAGGAACAAGAGGUUGGAAGAAAGCAGGUAUAUGAAAAUUCAAAUUUGACAGCUGACGAUGGAUCGCUAUUUUCUGAUCCGCUAUCCACUCCGUUAUUUUUUUUAUUAUAUCAGUUAUAAAAUUAAAAUUACAGAGUAUUAAAGUGAUACACUCUACGUAAGAGGUAUAUAUCUUAAACCCCUUAAAUCCACAUAUUUAUAAUAAAAAAAAUUUAGAUUUUUAAUAUUAAAAAAAUUGAUAUGGCAGAAAAAAAGAACCCAGCUUGUCAAAAAUUAGACUAUAAAAUUUACACUAUAAAAUUAGUUGCACAUGUAGCACUGCUCAACAAAUAUCUCAACUUCACCAAUUUGUUGACUUUUCAAUUGGGUAGGUUUUUUCUUCUUUGUUAUUAUUAUUAUUUUGUAUUAAUUAUAUAUAGUUUUAUGUAAAUAUAUCGAAUAGCAAAUAUAUUUUCACAAAGUUUAAGUUUUUAUUUUUAUUCCUGCAAAAGUUCUACCGCUUUCAAAUAUAUUAUUUCUUUUUAGGAUCCGUUAGACAAAUAUAGUUAACCGUGAGUAAAAUAUUCAAUCCUGGUUAGUAAAUGGGUUAAAUUGACAUUUUUACUCUUCUUAUAUUAUUAGGUAAAAUAUUUUUUGGGAAGAACAUUUUUAUAUAAUUCAAACAGUUGGGAUUUUUGAAAAAAUAUAUUUGUAAGAGUAAAAAUAUCAUUUUAUUUAUCUGCUUUUAAAAAAUAAACAAUGCUAUAGCAAUAACAAAUCAAAGAAACAAAUAUGAAUAUUACUGAAUUUUUAUAGAGAGAAAAUAAAAAAUUAAAUUUUAUAGGGAUAUGUUUACUAUUCAAGAUGUUUACAGAAAACUGCGUGCAAUUUUUUUUUUUCUUUUUUUUUUGCCAGGUGGCAACCAGGCAUGGCAUGAUGUUGAUGUGACCUCCUCCGCAAGGCCGGCUUAUUUUAGGCCAGGAUAAUUUCACAUGUAUCACAUUUAAUUUUAUAAAAUUUAGUUAUUUAUUAUUAUAUUUUUUGAAGACUCCAAAUAUAUAAAUUUAUUUCUACAUGUUGGCUUUGCUAGUUGACUGUAAAAAUAGUAGUUUUUAGACCAUUGCACUCUUAUAAAAAAAAUAAUAUGUUUCCUAUAAUUUUUUUUAAAAAAAUUAUAAUUUAUGGUUUACAUAAAAUAACAAAAAAGUUAAAAAUAGAAAUAUUAGGAAUAAUAAAUAACAUUAAACAUAAUCGAAAAUUUUAUUUUAACGUGUCAACUAACGAAAUAGGAGUCCGGCUACUAUACUAUCGAUAGCACGGAGCGCUCCGUGCUACCAAGUUGUUUUCGAUGAUGCGACUUCUAAAUCGACGAUCGGCUCCGUUAGACUUGAUCUACACUAUUAAAAAUAUUUAGAAACUAAAUUUCAUAAUUUUUCGAUAUCAUUUACCUAUCAAACAAGUAGUCUAAAAUUGAACGACUGAAAAUAAAAAUCUCAUAAAAAAUAAUGAUAAAAGAUUUAAAUUCAAGAUCAGAUAUACUGAUCUUACUCUAAAUAGUGAAAAGAAUUUUCUAUAAAAUUUUCAUCGGAUUUGGAUUGUUUUACACCGUUAAACUCACAAACACACCACAUCGGCCAUUAAAAUUGUCAAUUUUGAGAUCUUUUGAUCACUAGUCAAAUGAUGUCGAAAAAACCUGAAAUUUAGUUUUCAAAUACUUUCAAUAGUGUAGAUCAAGUUUAACGGAGCCGACCGUCGAUUUGAAAGCCGCAUCAUCGAAAACAAGUUGGUAGCACAGAGCGCUCUGUGCUACCGAUAGUAUAGUAGCCUAGUUCACGAAAUAGAAUAUAUUG
rnacentral:lncRNA from 1 species